CAGUCUCACCGAUCAAGUGCACCACACCCGCUUGUGCCGCUCUAUCAAUUGCUUCAAUAUCUUUGUCAACAUUCUCUUGGCGCCUUUCUUCAUCCUCUUGGAGCCUUUCUUCAUCAAUUUCCUUUGAUUCUUCGGCCUCAUUCUCAACAUUAAUCAACCUAUCUUGCAGCUCUCCAGAAUCCAUGUCUCCAGUGUGUUCUCUUAUGAACUCCUUCAAUCUUUCAACCAGCAAUCUCUCAAAAGGGUCUUCCUCGAAUCGCAUGUCGGUGUACCCGUACCUCACCACACACUGGAACACAUAAAUAUCAUCUGGGUCUACCCUGCGGAAGAGGAAUCGUUCUUCCACUGGAACCUUGCUUAUGGGGAGAGACUUGAUUGAGACGAAAACAAGAACUGAAUGCAAUGCAGGCACAUUUUCCAUGUAAUGCUUGAAGAUGGGCGGGAUGCCAUGAACAAGCUCAGAGUAGAAGAUGGCCAAUCCUGGUAUUCUACUAAAGUUUGUGCUCCCUACUAAUUCCUUCACCACCUCAGGAGAAAUCUUGUGAUCCAGAUCAUAAUAGUAUUUCCUCCGGUACACAUCAUUCCAAAUGUACAUUAUGGUCAUCAGAACUAAGGCAAAGGCCAAGGGUAGAUACCCUCCUUGAUCAAACUUGUAGAGGACUGAACUUAGAUACAGAAGCUCAAUGCUACCAAUGACCACAACAUAUGAGAUCACUAGUAGUAUAUGGGUUUUCCAUAUCAUGAUCAUCACAAGAACCAGAAAUGAUGAGGUGAGGGUCAUCACGAACACCACCGCAAUCCCUACACCAACAAAGACUCGCAAUCAUGAUCAUUUUGAAACAUCACUAAGCUCGAGAAAAGCUGAAAAUAUGAAAGAUGUGGGGUAGAUUACCAUAUGCAUUUCCGAUCUUUGUGGUAGUCUUAAACCCUACAGUGACCCCUACACAAGCCAGCAUGAGAAGGUAAUUGACCUCAGGAAUGUACACUUGCCCUUCAUACUUAGUCGAUGUAUGCACAAUCUUCACUCGAGGAAAGCACCCAAGUGAGAGAGACUGCUGGAUAAUGGAGAAAGUCCCAGAUAUCAUAGCUUGACUGGCAAUGAUCGACGCUGACACAGCCACAACAAACAUCGGCCAGUACAGACCAUCUGCACCGAAGAAACCCCACCUCAACCAAUAAAAUAACUAUCAAGAAGACAGAAAACAAACUCUAAAGCCAGAAUGCUCACGUGGUAUGGACUUGAAGAAAAGGUCAGCAACAUCCUGAUGGUGUUUCCGGAGAAAGGAGGCUUGUCCAGUAUAUGCCAAUACAAGAGCUGGGUAUGUGACAGCGCACAUACUUAUUUGAAUUGAUCGAACUGUGAAGUGGCCAACAUCAGCAAACAGCGCCUCCGUCCCUGCAUUUUCCCGAAAACAAUCUGAGAAAUUUCUCAAGUUAAUGAUGGAGGAGAAUUGAUUAUUGAUCCAAAUCCAAACCUGUUAUGGAGAGGACGGCCCCACCAAGGGAAAUCCAGGCUUCUUUCUUGUUCCUUCUAAAGUAAUUGAUGAUGUACUUGGGAUUAAUGGCUUUAACAACUGUUGGAUCAAACUUGAUGAAGUUGUAGACCCCAAUGCCGCUAAUUAACGCGAACCAAACACAGAUUAUUGGAGCAAAACUGUAUCCAACUUUGUCAGUUCCAAAUCUUUGAACCAUGAAAAGACACACCAAGAUGGCUACUGAUAUCCAAACAAUCCUAUCUGUGUCCAAGAAAAAAGUUAUUUAACUUUGUCAGUUCCAAAUCUUUGAACCAUGAAAUAAAAUUUAUUUACAUUUUUCAACUGAGGAAAAAAUAAAAAUAAAAUAAAAUAAAAUAAAGAAAGAAUGGUGAAUAAUAUGAUUAUAUAUAACCAUUUAAAAAAAAAACUUAUGAUAUGGGAAUUUUUUAUUGUAUUUAAUAAUUUAAACUUUUACCUUUUUAUCAGUCACGAUUGAGAGGACAAGUCAAAAUAUUAUUAAGAAUAAUUAUUCGAGGAUGUUAUUGUAAGUUGAAAGGAUUAUUUUAAAUUUGUCAACAGUACAAACCCAUUAUUUUAUUUAUUUUCUUUUUCCUUAAAGAGGGUAAAGAUUCUAAGUUAAUAAGCCAUUGGAUUAAACACUUUUGUCUACACUUUACUAGUCAAAAUUGGACAAUCUGUUUUUUUUAUCAAUUAAUUUGGUUCAAUUCAAUUUUUUGUAAUUAAAAGGAGUAAAAUAAUUAUAGAUUUACAAAUCUUAAAAAAAUAAAAAAAUAACCUACAAAAAUGCCAUUCCUUUUUUUUUUUUUAUUUUAAAAAAAUUAUCCAAAUGUUAGAUAAAAAAUUUAUUGUAGUAGUUGAUUUUAAAAGUUGAGAAAGAUUACCUUGUGUCAUUGAAUCUGUAACUUCCUUGAUGCCACCCACAGCAGAUAAAACUAUGACAUGCAAAGUCAAAUAUCAAAUAUACAAUAAAAGACUGAAGGACGAAACCCAUUUUCUUUGUCAACAAAAAUCCAACUAAGGUGGUGUUUAUAUUUUACUUAAUUUUUAAUAGAACCUUAAUACUUAAUAAUGUUAAAUAUUAAGUUAUUUGUUUUUGUAGUAUUUUAUUUCUAUUAAAUAUUAAAAAGUAAAGAAAAACCAAUAUAUUAUAUUUUUUUAUUUAGAAAAAACUAUAUAUUUUGGUUUUUUCUAUUUAGUAAAAAGUUUAUAAUAAGUUAUGAAAAAGUAGAAAAACAAAAACCUAAUUUCUGAAAACAAAUUGCUUUCAGCAAAAAACCAAAAAAACAAACACCACCUAAAUUAAUUUGCAGUACCACUAGUAGACAAGAGACCCAUCCUAAUUCCUAACUAUAAGAAAAAUUCAUCCUAAUUCCUAACUAAUAAGAAAAAUUAAUAAUAAAGAAGAAAGUUGAAUGCAUAUUCUGCCAUAUACAUAUAUCUACUUAAAUUAGUCAUAAGUAAUUUUCAAUGAUAAUAAAAGAUAACUUUAAAAAAGCUAAGCACAAGAUUUUUUUGGCAACAAAAAUUUGUAAAAGGAAAAGUCAUUUAUUAUGGAAGAAAGAAACCUUUUAAAUAUCUCAAACUAACUAAAAAAGGAUGAUGUAAAUUAUGGUUGUUUUUUAUUUUUUAUAGUAAGAAAAGUAUUUCCAAAAAUGGUAGCGUGAUAUGGUUUUUACUUUCCAAAUAAGAAAGGUAUCUCCAAAAAAAAUGAUACUGUGACAUGCUUUUUACUUUCUAAAGUAAGAAAAAGUAUUUCCAAAAAAGGUAGUGUGACAUGGUUUUUACUUUCCAAAGUAAAAAAAGUAUUUCCAAAAAUGGUAGUGUGAUAUGGUUUUUACUUUCGAAAAGUAUUUCCAAAAAAUACCAUGUGAAAACAAAGAUGAAAGGAAAAAAAUAAAAUCUUUUAAUAAAUGCAUAAGGAAAAAUAAAGGUGUAUGACAGUAUGUCAUUAAAUUUGUAUGUAAAUGUAAAGAAGGAUAAAAACUAAGCUAACCUGAGAUGCAAGGAGUGAGGACACCAUCACCAAUCACCAUGGAAGUGCCAAGCAUUGUAGCAAACAACAGAAAGAACUUAGCAAAGUUGCUCUUCUCUAGCUUAGACUUAAGCUUUGAUGCCAUCUGCAGUCUUUUACUAGGCAGCUCCAACCGGAAAUUGGAGACUUCUCUGUCCUCAGCCUGUUGACUAGGGAUCAACCCCACCUUGGCAUAUCGGCAUAUAAGAGAAUACAAAGCAAAUGUCCCUCCUGAAAAUUAUCCAGUGUUUAAAAGAAGUGUAUUCUAGGCUUAAUGGGCUAUUUUCCUCUUUUUUGAGUUAUAAUGUGAACCACAUAUUUAGAGUUGAAAAGGCAGAAAGGAUUAAAAAAAAGAUUCAUUGGAUUGAGUGCACAAUUGUCGAUCAUUAAUUAAGCACAUACGAGGGAAGUUUCCCUUCCCCAGUUGGAGCCUGCAUGGUUAUUUUCAAGGGCAAGUCACACAGUUUGAUACAUCAAAGUUGGCCUUCAAUGGUGUUUUUCACUCAUCUCAAGACUAGAAAAAAAUGGCAAAAAAAAAAGAAAAAAAGAAAUUAAUAAACCAUUUUGCCUGGUAUGGAAAAGUCUUAAUAUGUGGCAUAUUUCUAAUAAGAAAAGAUGAUGGGUUCAUGCCAUAAAGAAAACAAAAAAGAAAAAGGAAAGAUAGAAAAAGAAGAUCACAGUACGAUACAUUUCAAUUAAAAUCAAAGGUCGUUAAUGAUCAUGAGCUCUCACCCUCGCCAUUAUCAGUGGCCUUCAACACAGUCAAGACGUACUUGAAGAGAGGGAUGAGGGUGAGGGUGUAGAAGAUGAUAGAAAGAACCCCCAGAAUAUCAUCAUUAUGUUUGACACCAUCAGUGAAAGUGCUUGCAUACACGUACAACGGCGAAGUUCCAAUGUCCCCAUACACUAUUCCCAUGCUCUGAAACGCCAGGUGCAGUAUCACAGACCAGUCCUUGGUAUCCUUCAAAACAGAAAUUCAAAAGAUUAAAAUAUAUAUAUAUAUAUAUAUAUAUAUCAAAUUUUCUUUCUCCCAGUUUCCAUGCAUAAAGGGGUGGGGGGUGCAGACCUUGGAGCCAUGGUGGCUGUGGCCAUGUACAGUCCCGGACUCCAUGUCUAGGGAGUCCAUACGACGCAAUUUUCCCCGUGAGAGUUUCUUUGAUUUGAGGCCUUGAUCAUGGGUGUCAUCAGGGCUGUUUACCACAUCAGAAGACAUUUUCUAUGAUCUGAAAAGGGCUUUGAUUGGACCGGAGGUUAUGCAGAAGAUGAAGAAGGUGCAGAGGCCAGUUUAAAGGCACAGAAAGGUCUGAAAAGAGUGAACGAGAUGUUGAUGGGCAUCUCCAAAUUUACCUCUUGGUUUUGUGCUUAUUUACCUUCCAUGCCCUGCCCUCACUGUCGGUUGAAAAUAGAAAACCGCGUGGUUUGAUUUUAUGAAUGAGUAAACGAGAUUCCGACAGUGUUUUUUUACCAUUUAUUUUUCAAAUUUGUUGGAAAACGCGUUAUCAGUAAAUAAACUUACCCCAUAUUAGUCCAAUGGUUGAUAUCUGAAACCUAUUAUUUACUUUUUUUAAGAUAUGACUUCCUAUUAUAUUCCUUUACAAAUUUGAAAAUAUUUUUUGAAUUAGUAUAUUAUUAAAAAUAUUUUUUAACUAAUAUAUAUAUUUUAAAUUCUCACGCCUACAAUAAGGAUAUCCCAUCAAUAUUCCUAAAAACUUCUUUUUAUCCUUACGUUUUAAUUAAACGUGUGUUUUAAAGUGAUUUUAAAAAACGUUUAUAAUAUUUUUAAUAUUUAAAUAUAAAAAAUUUAAAUUAAAAAGAUAAAAAUUAUUUUCUAGAUUCUAAGCUUUCUUCAAUUUUGUUUUUUAUUUUUAAAAAUAAAAAUAGAGAUUACAAUAAUUUUUUUUUUUAAUGACUAAGUUAUUUAUGAGAAAAAUAUUAUAUUUAUAAUUUCUUUCAUCAUUAUUUUUCUUCUAUUAUCACAUACAUUUAAUUAAUAAAUUAGAUUUAAUUAGACUAAAAAUUCGUUUUGCAAUGUUUAAAAAAAUAUUUCUAAUGUUUCGUAUUUCACAAUAUUUGAUUGCACAUUAAAAGGAUACCCAAAAUUUAUUGUUUAAAAAUAAGUAAUAAAUUUGAGAUGGUGACAUCGGAACCCUACUCUCAUAUAUCGCCCAUAUAUCUCGAUAUUUUGUUCCAUGAUUGAAAUAUGCAUGGGGGAGUGUAGUGCUCCAUGAACUUUCCAGUGGGGUGAAAAUUCUGUAGCAUCACAUGCAGAUGCGUCAUAGUCAUAAUCACGUGUUAAACGUAUUCUUUCUGCAACAUCACAGAUCACAGGAAGCCUAUGAUGGUUGACCCUAAGAUGAAUUGCAUAUAUUCAUAGGCCUUGUUUGGAAAAUAUAAUAUCAAAAAAAUCACAACAAUCCGAGUUUAAAAAAAUACAAAUUUAUAUUCAAUUAUUCAGAUACUAUUUUUUUAAUAGUUUAAGUUCUAUCUUUGACUAUUUUAAGUAUCAUCUAUUUUAUGAUUAAAGAAAAGUUCAAUGAACACGACAUAGAGUGAUAAAAAAAAAAAGGACCAUGAAAUAAAACUUCUCCAUUUAAGAAGAUUCAUAAUAAUAAUAAUAAUAAUAAUUAAAAAAAAUAAAAUUAUUGAUAUUUCUCAUCCCCUUGAUAGAAAAGGAAAUUGGUUAUUGCUCCUUUAUAUUAUAGAGAUAGAAUUCUUGUCAAAUUCAUAAACUAACAUAAUGUCUAAUUCAUUUUCAUAAUGGAAAAUGUACUCUCUCCCUCUCAUCUAAAGAAGAUAACAUUGGUUAUUACUACUUUACAUUCAUAGAGAUAGAAUUCUUCAGAAUUCAUUAACUAAUAUAAUGUCUAAGACGCACAAAUUUCAAAUUGCUUUUGUGUAUGGCACACAUGGUUGUUGUCUAAAUAUGACAACUCUUUUCGUCAUUAAUUUUUUCAAGUUAUUUUUAUUAUAAUUUUAAUUUUUUUUUCAAAAAAAUCAUUUUAGAAUCAUAUAAAUUGUUAAAAAUUUAUUGAACAACAUUAAUUUUCUUAGCUAAUCCAUUAUAAAAAAUAAAUUAGGUAAAAUUUGAUUAGAGUUCUUUUUCUUUUUUGGUUCUUUUCUUCUAGUAAAACUAUAUUUUUAAAUUAAUAAACUCUAAAAUAAUGCUAAAUAUUUUUAAUUAGUUAUUGACUUAUUAGAUAUAAAAUUUAUUUAUUUAUAUGAAAAUUUUCAUGUGAUGAACUCUCAUUUAUUAGGAAAUUAUGAAAACUUGUAAUUUUUUUAAUUUUUAUGAUCUUAAAAUUCUCAAAUGGACCUUAAUUUGAAUGUUAUUAAUUAUUAAUGUUGUAUAUUGUAUGUAAAUAAGUAGUCUUUAUCCUUAAAAAAAUGUAUUUUGUUUAUUUGUAUUUUAGGAUAAAGAUAUUUGAAAAACAAUAAUUAAAAUAAAAUUAAUUUAAUAAAUUGUAGAAAAUCCUAAAAUACCAAAAUUUACUCCAUUGUUGUUUUAUAUAACUAAGAAAAAUAUUUGAAAAUUAGUAAUUUAAUAUAUUUCUAAAUAUCCUAAAAUAUCAAAAUGGAUUGUAAUACAAAAAUUUAUAAUGAUUAAUGAUGGGAUCACUUAAAAAAUUGGUAAUAAGAUGAUAAUUAGGGUUUCUAAUUAUGUUCAAUUAAGUAAAAAACACGUAAAGUUUUUUUAUGUUAAAUUCUACUUAUUAGUAAUUACUCAUAUACAUGAUAUAUGAAUAUAUAUAUAUAUAUAUAUAUAUAUAUAUAUAUAUAUAUAUAUAUAUAUAUAUUUCAAUUUUAGAAAAUUGUGAAUUUUUUCAGAUUGACUUUUUAUCCAAAUUAGUUAAUUUUAUUUUUUAGUAAUAUUUUUUUAGAAAGUAAAGAAAAUGACAAAAAAAUAUUUUAUAUUAAUUAUAUUCUUUUAUUUCUUGGGAUAAUUUUAUUAAUUUAUGAAAAAUUUAUUUUUGAGUCAAAUGUAUAAAAUUUAAAUAUUCAAUGAGAUACACUUCUUAGUUUUUUAUUUUUAGAAACUUUUGUACAAAAGUAGAGAUAUUAAUGAGUCAUUGAACUAUCUACAUGGUUGACAGCUCUUACAACUUUGGCACAACAACACAAUUAUCAGGGGCAUGUUGUACCACCAAGCUAAUAGUUCAUAGUACAAGUCUUCCAUUAGGGACCCACCAUGCCAAGAGCGAGUGAAACUUCAUCAUUCUUUUGUCUUUUUUUACUUCAAUAUCACCACAUAAGAGAGACAUGAGGACGUAAAAUAAGGUUUUAUCAAUUUGUUCUCACCCAACAUAAUAAUGACAUGAGUUUGGUUGGUCUUCACCUUAUAUGGUGAAUACAAUGAUGGUCACUUUUGCAAAUUGAAACUUAAAGAAUGUAAGUGACAAUAUAAAAAAAAUGAUAUAAUAAAAAUCAAUAUAAUAACAAAUUACAAAUAAAUAAAUAAAAAAUAAAGAGGAAAAAAAAUAUAUAAACACAAUAUUUUACAGCAAUUUGACACAACCCAACUUACAUUUACUUUCCUCAAGUUUUCAAUCAGGGGACAGAUUUUUUAAUAAGGUUUCUAACUCAAACCUUCAAGUUUACAAUGGACCAUAGUUCCAAUCAACUUUCUUGGACUUCUAGCUCCAAAUACCCUUUUGGAUUAUUGUUUUAAAUAUUCUUUAUAACAAAAAAUUUCAAUAUAAAGCAUUAUUUUCAAAAUUGGAUCAGAUAUUGAACCAAAAAAGUUAUCGAUUCACCGGUCGAACAUGUGAUUUAACCGCGGUCAAAUCGGUGAUAUUAUAAAUAUAUAAUUUAUAUUUUAAUAAAAUUAAUAUAUAUAUAUAUAUAUAUAUAUAUAUAUAUAUAUAUAUAUAUAUAUAUAUAUAUAAUUUUUUAAUAAUAUUUUGUAUUUUAUAUUUGAUAUGUCAAAUUAAAUAUUAAAUGAUAAAUAUAAAUAUAAAUGUAUUAAUAUAUUAAAUUUUAUUAAAUAGAACAAUAUUUAAAUAUGAGGAUAUAUUCAAGAUAAAAAAUUAUAAUAUUUAAAUUAAUUGCAUAUAUAUAUAUAUAUAUAUAUAUAUAUAUAUAUGUAUUUUGUUAUUUUAAAAUUUUAAAAACUAUUAUAUUAAUUAAUUUAUGUUAUUUUUUUAUUUAUAAUUAAUAAUUAUUAUACCAAUAAUGGUAGAUAUAAAUAUUUAUAUUUAUUUAAAUGUUCUCUAUGAUAAAAAUUUAAAGUAGGAUAUAUACGUAUUUUCCAUGUUAUUGACCAAAUAGCUAUGUAAGUUGGUGGUCGACCACUCAUUAUGUAAACCACAUGUCCUAGGUUUCAAUUCCCCUCCAUGUGAAGCUUAUUUUAUUAUUACUAAGGCCUAACCUCUCCCACAUUGAAAUUCUACAAAGCAUUUAUGUAGCAUUUAUACCUUUACAUCAUAAGUGAAAGUAAAUUGCCAUAUAAUACAAUAAAUGGGCUUGGAAGAAAGUGAGAAAUGAGCUAGAAAAUUGUGGAAACCAGGGUGGAAUUUGGUUAAACCAUAAUUGACUAGUUCAUGAGAAAUUGGAUAGUUUGUCUGGUUUGGCGAUUGAAUUGUCGAUUUAUUUUGUCCAACGACGGUCCAUUUCACUAGAUCAGACCAAAAAAGCCAUCAGUCGAUGGUUAAACCGGCCGGUUCGGUCCAUUUUUCAAAACAAUAAAAUUAAGGUUGAAUGAUACAUUAAAAUAAAAUGCAAGUUUAAAAGUAAAUGCAUAUCUAAAAACACUCUCUUGGUGCUUCAAUUAUAUUAAAAAAUAAUUUAGAGCUCUUUCUCGUUCAAAGAAGAGUUGAGAGCCACUAGAUAUAAUUUGAGUACUAAUUGACCAACCAAUAGAUUAACUACUAAUCAUCAAGGUUACCAUUUCCUAACAAACUCAACUGAUUGAGACUUAGUUUAACCUAGUUGAAUCAAGGUUAUGCCAAUGAUUGGAGCCAAAAUAUGUGCUCCAAUGGCACAUAUAUAAUAUAAUUUAUACAAUAUAAAAAGCUCAAAUCAUCAAACUUAACUUAAAUUGAUGCUAAAAUCCUAACUAUGGAUCUAACUUCCCUUUUUGAACCUAAUUCCAAAUCUAAGGGGUGAAAAGAAUGCUUAGUACAAAUUUCAUUCUCAACCAAGGGAGUAGAAAAGGUUAAAUAUACAUAAAUGAGAGACUUCAGACUCUUGAACCAUAAAUAGUCCGAAUAAGAGCAUAAUGAAAAAACAAUAGGCAUGAGAUACUAGUAACGAAUGUUAUGAAGUGAGAUAGAAGGAAAUAAAUCAUAAUGAAGGAAGUUUGAAGCAAAUACAAUCAAAUUCACAUGGAAAUUAGGAACUCAAAAUUUGGCUAUAACAAGCACUCUAAAUUUGAGGUGAAAUUUGGAGGACUUCCCAAAGUCAUUUUUAAGCAUGUUAUGUAUCAUUUCGAAGUUUGGGAAGUCAAGAGUCUAACACUUCAAAUGAUGUGCAAAUUAGAACUGAAAUGAGGAAGUUAUGUGCAUUAGAAGUGAAAUAGUAGUAGGUAAGUUCAAAAUUCAUAGUGAAUUUUGAACUCACCAUGGUGAUUUCAAAUUGGAACUUUUCAUCCAUUUAUGAGCUCAAAAUUGAUUUGGAACUCACCUCAAUUUUGAAUUCAACAGUUGGUGAUUGAGUUAUAGCUCUAAAACAUACUAAAAAUGAGUUUCAAAUGCCUUAAUCUAAUUCAAAAUGCAUUUUACUCAUUUAGAACUCAUAAUAUUUAGAGUUUUUUUAGGUUGUUUAUAAUUUUUCUUUGUAAUAAGUGGCCAAUGGAAGUGUAUCACAUGUUAGGUUAUUGAAUUUAUUAAAAUUUUUUACUUCUAGGUUUUGAAGGAGGAAGAGAAAAAGAUAGAGUGUAGGAAGUGAAUCUCCUCUUAAAAGUCUUUAAUAGAGUUUAAGGUUUUCUUUUCUUUUUCAAUCUUUCUAUUUUAUUUUCUCGGCAACCAAACAUGGGUUGUAAGAAGAAGCCCUCCAUCAUGUUUGGCUAACUUGAUUAAUCCAAAUAUGCUAACAUGAUGAAGGUGAAGAAUCCAAAAAAAAAAAAAAGCAAUAACACGACAAAGUAUGAUUUUCUUUAUGUUUUCAAGAUUUAAUUGAUAAGAAUAAAUCUUUUACGUGAGUUCACUGUAGAUAAAUUACAAAUGAUUCUUAUCAAGAUAGUAGUGAUUAUUGAGAAGACAUUGAUCACUAAUUACUAUAAUUUGAUCUUACUAUUAACGAAUUUAAGGGUCAAAUCUACAAAGAUGGAUAUAGCCUUUGAUUGAAUAAAACUGAAAAUCAAAAUUGACUAGCACCUAUCAUUGUGAGUUUGUAUUGGGGAUUGAUACAGUAGAUUAUUACCCGUUACUAGUGAUUUUUGGUAACUUCUAAUCUUUAGUUAUCCUAGUCUUUUUUAUCCUUAUUUUUUCUUAAAACAAAGAUACAAGGAGUUGGAAAUGUCAAAAAGUCAAACUUUGAACCAAUAAUUAAUUUUUAUUCUCAUUCACUUGAUGGUUUUAGAAAUAUGUUUUAAAAAAGAAAAAAAACUAAGUUUUGGAUGUAACAUUAAUCUUAGGAUUCAAUUUGGUUGUGGAUUGACUUUGAUCUUACACCCUAGAUUUUAUAAUGCUAUCCUUCUAAGGAUUUGACCUUAGAUUAUGAAACUCUCUGGAACAUUCCUUUUUUAAUUUGAUUUAGUUCAUUUAAUAUUCAAGAAAUCUUUAUUGAUAUUUUAUCCCUAUUUAUUUAAAUUAUGAUUUUAUUAUCUUAAACAAAUAAUUAAUCUUUUUAAUCUAAAAACAAAUAAACACGUUAGAGAUAAUUCCAAAGGAUGACACCCCAAAAUAUUAUCAAGCCAUGGUAAUUCUAUCUCUGGUUUUUCUUAGCUAGAGUUAUCAAGUAUUUAGGUUUUAGUAUUUUAUUUUCAAUAAAGUUGAGCAUUUUUGCUCUCCUCAAUUAGUUGAGUCUAACCGCAUUAACCGGUUCUCUUGUACCUCAAUGGAUUGCACAUUUUUCAGAUUGAAUUAAGGUUGGUAAACCUCGAUUAAUAGCUCCUCAAUCUUUCAAACCUUUAAAAAUAUUUUACUCACAUUAAAACUUAGAUUUUUCCUUACAUCAAUUUUUUUCAUCUAAUUUAUAAAAGAAUGCAAAACAAUUUAGUACUUUAAUGACUUUAGGUGUUUAAGUAAAAAUGAAAUGUAAUAUGAAUUAAUAGGCCAAUAACUUUACAAAGGGAUUCUAUAAAAAUUAUCUUUAAAUACCAUUUUUUAAGGUAUUAUCCUUAUUAUUGAUUUUUUUUUUCUACUUGAUAAUUGCUUUUAUGGAAAUUUUCUUACCUAAGCACCCUUGGGAUAAAUCAUUGGUUUUCAACUUUGUUAUGUUAUCAUCAAAAUCAAAAUUAACUUCCUUAGUUUUAUAGCAUGUUGUACUACUAAGCUAAUAGCCCGUUGUGUAGGCCUCCCACCAAGGGAUCAACUAUGCUAAAAGUAAGAAGAAACACAUCCUUCUCUAUUAGCCUAAGGGUUUCCCUAAGUAUGUUUUGAUGAUAACAAAUCAUGGUUAGUUUGCUAAUGAUCAAAAAUCAAGUUAAGUUUUAAGAGUUAAUCAAGAAAAUCAAAUGAAAAAUCAAAGUGAAUCAUAAAGGAUCCAUGGAGAGCAAGAUCAAGUAUAUAUGAAGACCCAUCAAGCUUAGGAACCCUACGUAAGAUAAGUACUUGAGUGCACCUAGUAUUUCUUUUUAAGAAUGCAUCUUUUCCAUGCUCGUUUUAAGCCUUAAAAAUCAUAUUUUUAUAAACUCGAUUAUUGAUCUAAAAACCUUAGGCAAAACUACUUAAAUUUGUUUUAUAAAAGUAUUUAAAGAUGUUGUCUAAGUGUUAAAAAAAAAUGAAAUUGAAAAAGAUAGGUUUUGAGUUAAAAAUGUCCAACCGAUUGAAAAUGAGUUGAACCAACUCGACCGGUUAAGGAAUUGGUCAAUUAGUUUAAUUUCUUGGUCAAGGAGUGCAAAAACUUUCUCUUUCUUUCAAAAUGAUUGCUCUCCUAAACGAGAGAAACCUUUUCCUAGUCGAUGGUAUCUUAUUUCUCAGUUGAGGUUUAGAGGAGUCCUAACGGUCACCUAUCAAGCAUUAAAUGUCCAACAGCUAGUCAAUCGAUGUCGAACCGGAGCUUAACUGGGAAAGGCCUAUUGGUGAACCUUAUGGUGUUCGAGGUUAUAAACCUAUAAAUAAAGAGAUCUCAUUCAUUCAUGAUAUAGAGAAUACUUGCAUUCAACUCUCUAUCUACUUGUUUCUCACAUUAAAAGCUCUUUUUCAUUCUUUAGUGUAAUAAACUUUCAUUUGCAAAUCAUGCUUGGCGCACCUUUGUUUUCAUCCUAGUUUCUUUUGUACUUGCAAAUUAACUGUACUAGGAUUGAGUGAUUCCAAAUUCUCUUGAUUAAAGUAAGGUUGAGUGUUUAAUCUUCAAGUUGGGGGUAAACUUGAAUGGUUUAUAGUGCCUAUUAGAGUCGUGCAUCCAAUUGUAAGAGCAUAGAAGCUUGGUUAAAGCUUCACACUAAUUGAACGCUCACUUGGAAGGAGUUUAAGGAGAAAUGAACAUAGGCGAGAAUUGUCGAACCACUACAAACCAUGUUUGCAAUUUCUCUUACUUUUGUGUUUUUACUUUUAUUGUUCUUUUAAUUGUUACUUAGGAGUAGUUUUCAAAAAAGUUUUUAAAAUUCAAUUUACCCUCCCUUUUGACUAUUUUUCUUAGUGAAUUAGCCUUUAAUUCACAUUUUCUUUUCUUUUUUAGUUCAUGACCAUGUAAGAAGGACACGAGGAAGUAGAAAAAGAUCUUAUCAACUUGUUUCGAUUCAAAAUAAUAACCACAUGAGCUUAGCCUUACUUCACCUUUGAGAAACGAAAGAAGACAUUUCAAAAAAGUACAUAUUUAUCUUUGUUAGCCCAAGGGUUCUCCUAAUCAUGUUUUUAUAAUAACAAAUCAUGGUUAAGUUGUUAAUUGGUUUGAAUUAUAAAGAAUUUCAAGUGUUAGUUGGAAAAUUCAUCAAAGUACCUAAUUGAUGCAAGAUCAAGACAAUUGGAAGAACCUUUAAUCAUAGAAAACAUAUGUAAGAUGAAUGCAUAGGUGCACUUAGGAUUUUCAUAUAUUUUCAUGCAUCUUUAAAAACUCGAUUUAUGCAUUAGAGUUGCAUUUCCAUCAAAACCCGAGUUUUAUCAAAUGAACCUUAGAAAAAUCAUUUCAAAAUCGACAUAUUAGUUUACCUAAAGACCUUGUCUAAGUAUUAGAAGUGAAAAGAAUAGAAAAAGAUAGGUUUACAGACCAAAAAUGGUGAACCAGUCGAAGCACUAGCCAACCGGCUCAACCAGUUAGUGUAUCAGUCAAUCGGUUACACCUUUCCGGUUGAGAGAUGCAAAAAAAUUUCUCUAUCUUCUAAUAGUCUUGCAUUCCCGAUCGAGAGAUAUGCAUUCCCAAUAGAGGUCUGAUCAAGGACCGAUCGAGGCCUAACGAUCACUUUCUAUGCAUUUAUUGCCCAAUGGCUAGUCAAUCAGUUGACCCCCGACUCUUUGAGGCUAAUUUUUGACAUUUUUGGCUUUCAAAGCUAGAAACCUCUAAAUUGAGAAUUCUACUUCAUUUAUGAGUAAGAGAAUACCUACAUUUAUUUGUAUACUUACUUGUUCUUACCUCAAUAACUCUCAUUCUUUCUUUGGUGCAUUAAAUCUUUAUUUGCAUAUGCUUUAGUACACCCUUGUAAUUCAUCCUAGCAUUUGAGUUGUAUUUAAGCUUUUGUUGAGUUAGGUUGAGAUAUUUGAAUUUGUUAUUUGAGUGUUAUAAGCUUCAAGUGAGUAGAGACUUGAAGAGAUUGUGUAAAAACUCAUUGAAGUCAGAAUCCAAGUGUAAAGAUGCUAGAAGCUUGGUUGAAGCUUCAAGUAUAGUGAAACCUUCACUCGGUUAAGAGCUUGAAGAGAAUGGACGUAAGCAAGGGGUGUCAAACCACUAUAAAAUUUGAGUUUACUUCCUCUAACCUUAUCUCUUUAUAUUUGUGUUUUCUUUGCUUGAAUUUGUUAUGAUUGAAAAAUACAAAAAAUUAAAACUCAAUUCACCCCUCAUCUCGGGUGUUUUCUUCAUUAAAAUUAUCCUUUAUUUUCUUAAUCUUAAUAUUUAAAAAUCACUUUUAGAAAAUUUAAAAUUUGAGAUUUAUAUACUUUAAUUUUUUUAAAUAGUUUUAAAACUAUUACAUUUUCAAUAUAAGCAUUUAAAAUUUUUUAUAUCUUAUAUAAAAGUUAUUACUAUUUUCUAAUUUUAAAAAUGGAAAAUAGGAAUGACAUUCAAAUGAAAACUAAGUAAUUUGAUGUAUUUUAAAGUAAAGAAUAACAAAAUAAAAUAAAAUAAAAGUAAAUUUAGUUUUAUUAUGAGAAAAAAACAAGAAUGGAUGUUAUCGAAGUUAAAAAAUAAAAAGAUAAUAGAGAAAAAAAUUCUAUUAAGAGAAAAUUAAAAUUAAAAUUUUUAUUAUGGUAAAAUUAUUUUUAAAUAGGUAAAGUCAAGCAGCUUUAAAAUUUCUAAUUUUAAAGCAGUUCAAUUCAAGAUUUAAGUUAAAAAAUACAAAUUGGGUUUAAUUUUGAAUUUGGUUUUUGAAUUAAAAGAAAAUUUUAAAGGGAGCGGUUUUUUUUUCCUCCAAAAAAAUUCUUUUAACCUAUUUUUUUUCUUUAAAAAAUUAUUAUUUUUAAUGAACGGUGGCUUUGGGCCACAAAAAAGGCCUAAACGGCCCACCCCAACCCAAGAAGGCUUUGGGUAUUUUCUCGCAUUUUCUUAGAGCUCAUUUUCAAGAAAAGUCAGAGAAAAAGGGUUUAAGUCAAAGGUUUAUCCAUCGAAAUGUUUCCAGUCAAUUCACUUACAAAUUUCAAUCUCUUGGCGGUUUGAUUUUAUGAAUUAGUAAAGGAGAUUAUGAGUGUCUUUUUUUACAAUUUAUUUUCCAAAUUUAGAAGAAAACGCAGUAAAGAAACCAAUAAUUUGUUUUUCAAGUUUUGCAUUUUCUAAAUUUAUGAUAUUUUUUUGGUAUUAAUUAAAAGAUAUAUUUUGAAGAGCUCACUUCCAAUUAUGAGCUCUCACCAUCGCCAUUAUCAUUGGCCUUCAAAACAAUCAAGACGUACUUGAAGAGAGGGAUGAGGGUGAGGGUGAGGGUGUAGAAGAUGAGAGAAAGAACCCCCAGAAUAUCAUCAUUAUCUUUGACACCAUCAGUGAGAGUGCUUGCAAAUGAGUACAAAGGCGAAGUGCCAAUCUCCCCAUACACUAUUCCAAUGCUCUGAAACGCCAGGUGCAGUAUCACAGACCAGUCCUUGGUAUCCUUCAAAACAGAAAUUCAAAAGAUAAUAUAUAUAUAUAUAUAUAUAUAUAUAUAUAUAUAUAUAUAUAUAUAUAUAUUUCUUUUUCCCAAUUGCCAUGCAUGCAGAUACAUAAUAACAAGAAAAUGAUAUCAGGAAGGGGGGGGUGCAGACCCUGGAGCUAUGGUGGCUUUGGCCAUGGACAGUCCCGGUCUCCAUGUCUAAGGAGUCCAUACGACGUAGUUCUCCCCAUAAGAGUUUCUUUGAUUUGAGGCCUUGAACAUGGGUCUCGUCAGGGCUGUUUACUACAUCAGAAGACAUUUUCUAUGAUCUAUGAUCUGAAAAGGCUUUUAAUCAAACUACUUUCUGGAUGGUUUGCAGAAGGUGGAGAGGCGCCCAUUAAAGGCACAGAAAGGUCUGAAAAGAGUGACGAAGAAACGUGAAGUUCAAGGUGGGAGAUGUUGAUGGGCAACUAAAUUUUAUGCUUCUGGGUAGACAAUGGCGCGGUUUGAUUUUAUGAAUUAGUAAACGAGAUUAUGAGUGUUCUUUUUUACAAUUUAUUUUUCAAAUUUAGUAGAAAACGUGUCAUCUAAUUGAAUUUAUUUCUUGAUUGAUCUCAGAAACAGCAGGCCUCUGUGUCCAAAAAUGACGUUUGCAUUAGCACAAGUAGACGUGAGUCUGUGACCAGGCCUCUCUGUACAAAAAUAAGACUGUGCAAACACUUAGAGCUCAGCACAAACAGCUGAUUAAGAAAGCAGAGAAAGCAGAGAGUAGCAAUGGUAUCUUCAAAUUUUGCCAUGCUUUCAUUACUUCUCAUCAGCUUGAGGGACAGCUUCAGAUGCUUUUGCUUUUAAAAAUAGAGAGGUUGUUCUCCGAAUCUUGUUUUUAUUUUUAUUUUUAUUUUUAUUUUUAUUUUUAUUUUUAUUUAAGUUAUAACUUCAAAACAAUUGCCAAACAUGUAAAAAAAAAAAAUUUUAAAGUUGUUUUCUAUUUUUUAAAAACCGUUUUUAAAAAUUUCAACAAACAUGCUCUUAAUCUUACAUAAUGUUUUCAAUUUAAAAUUGUAUUUGUACUGUUUUAUUUUUUUAAUUACUAUAUAUUAUUUUGAAAAUUAGAUCGGACCCAACUGAUCGAUCGGUGGACUUUCCGAUUUGGUCCUCUCUAUUAAAUCAGACAUUUGAACCAGCCCCAAAACCGUUGAACCAACGGUUAAACCGGUGAACUGCCUGAAUUGGGUGAUUCCAUAUGACUUGAACGAUUCAAUAUUUUUUGAAUGUGGGAAUGAUUUAUGAGCUUUGAAACAUGGGGAAGGAGAUGAUCAACAAAAUGUCUCAUUAGUAUCAAGUGAUAAGGCUGCUUGUAGCUAGCUAGCAUAGCUAAAAAAAUUGUAGCAAGAGUAAUUCUCUUCUCAAGCAUGUACAGCUAAAAUUCAACCAGAAAGGCUUAGUUACAAGAAAGAAGUUUGUAGUAAAGGUACAGAUGUGGAAUGGGAAUUUAUAUUAAUUAUAUUUUGGACUUUUUAUGAUAAGUUAAAUAUAUAAAACAAAAGUCGUUUUCUUUAAUAUUUUCUUAGCAGAAAAAACAUUGGAGGUGGGAAACGGGCAGGUUUUUUAGAGUCCUCCAUUGGUUUCUCCUCGGAUAUACGGCUCUAUGCAUUUUCAAAUAUCCCCAUUGGNNNNNNNNNNNNNNNNNNNNNNNNNNNNNNNNNNNNNNNNNNNNNNNNNNNNNNNNNNNNNNNNNNNNNNNNNNNNNNNNNNNNNNNNNNNNNNNNNNNNAAGUACUCUUGCUACAAUUUUUUUAGCUAUUCUAGCUAGCUACAAGUAGCCUUGUCACUUGAUACUAAUGAGACAUUUUGUUGAUCAUCGCCUUCCCCAUGUUUCAAAGCUCAUAAAUCAUUCCCACUUUUAGCAUACGUUUGUAUGGAAUGUCAAACACCUUCUUUGUCUGUCUCAAAUUCUGCUUUAAGAUAUUUUAGCCAACAUUUAUUAGAACAUUUUUUCCUAAUUUGGAGCCCUUCUCCGCCAUCACCUCGAUCAUUCUCACCAAUCAAGUGUACCCCACCCGCUCGUGUCGCUAUGUUAGUUGCUUCAAUAUCUUUGUCAACAUCGUCUUGGUGCCUUUCUUCAUCAAUUUGAUUUGAUUCUUCACUCUCAUUCUCACCAUCAAUCGACCCAUCUUGCAGCUCUCUAGAAACCAUGUCUUGUGUUAAUGUCAAGGUCAUCAUCAUUUUUUCUCUUAUAAACUCCUUCAAUCUUUCAACCAACAAUCUCUCAAAAGGCUCUUCCUUGCACGUCAGUGUACCCAUACCUCACCACACACCAAAACACAAAGAUCGUCUGGGUCUACCCUGCGGAAGAAGAAUCGUCCCUCCAUUGAAACCUUGCUUAAAACUCACCUAAAGGAUUUGAUAUUAGGUAAAAGCCCAACCCAAACAACCCUUAAUGUGUCAUACCUUAAUUUAUGUGUUCUCAAGACCUACAACCUAGCAAAACACAUAGAAGGCCACUUAGGUUGCAUGCACUUUAUCACUUAAAAUGAAAAUAAAAAAAUGUAUAUGUUUCUAAAAUAUUUAUAUUAUUAAAAAAUAAUAUAAUAUUUUCUAAAAUUCUAAAAUUAGUUAAAAUUAAAUAAUUAAUUUUUCUUCAUUUUGAAUAUAUUAACGUUUAAAUAUUAUACAUAUUUCAUUUAAUAAAAUUCAAAAUAAUAAUAUAUUUAUACUUAUUUUUUAUAAUAUCAAAGAUAAAAUUUUAUUAUUAUUAAUAAUUUAUUUAUUUAUUUAAAUUUUUAAUUCUUUUAAAUUUUAAUAAUAUAAAUUAUAUAUUUAUGACAUCAUCAAUUCGACUAGACCAUCGAUCUGAUUACUAAACCAUGAACCAUAACUUUUUCGAUUUAAAGACCAAUCUCUAUCUAUCUCAAAUUCUUCUUCAAGAUAUUGUAGCUAACAUUUAUCAAAACAUUUUCUCCUAAUCUAGAGCCCUUCUUCACUAUCACCUCAAUUUCAUCGAUCAAGUGCACCACACGCGGUCCUGCCGCUCUGUCAAUUGCUUAAAUAUCUUUGUCAACAUCCUUUUGGCGCAUUUCUUCAUCAAUUUGCUUUGAUUAUUUGCUCUCAUUCUCACCAUCAAUCAACCCAUCUUGUAGCUCUCCAAAAACCAUGUCUCCAUUACUGUGUUUUAAUGUCGGGGUCAUCAUCAUCUCUUCUCUUAUGAACUCCUUCAUUCUUCCAACCAUCAAUCUCUCAAAAAGUUCUUCCUUGAAUCACACGUCGGUGUACCCAUACCUCACCACACACCAUAACACAUAAGAUCAUCUAGGUCUACCAUGCGGAAGAGGAAUCAUUCCUCCAUUGGAACCUUGCUUAAAAGUCAAACCUAAACACCCUCUCAUGUGUCAUACCUUAAUUUAAGGUGUUGUAGAAGUGGCUUGUUGAGUUACCAAUUAGGUUUCAUGAUUUUAAGGAUUGGAACUCAAGACCUAAGACCGAGCAAAACACAUAGAAAACCACUUAGGCUACGUGCACUUUAUCACUUAAAAUGCAAAUAAAAAAAAUGUAUAUGUUUCUAAAAUAUUUAUAAUAUUAAAAAAAUAAUAUUAUAUUUUCUAAAAUUCUAAAAUUGGUUAAAAUUAAAUAAUUAAUUUUUCUUCAUUUUGAAUAUAUUGACAUUUAAAUAUUAUACAUAUUUCAUUUAAUAAAAUUCAAAAUACUAAUAUAUUUAUACUUAUUUUUUAUAAUAUCAAAGAUAAAAAUAUAAUAUUAUUCAUUAUUUAUUUAUUUAUAUAUUUUUAAAUUUUUAUUAUUUUUAAUUUUAAUAAUAUAAAUUUUUUAUAUAUGACAUCAUCGGUUCGACUAAACCACCCGUCUGAUUACUAAACCAUGAACCAUAACUUUUUUGGUUGAAUGACCAAUCUCUGUUUGUCUCAAAUUCUUCUUCAAGAUAUUGUAUCCAACAUUUAUCAAAACAUUUUUUCCUAAUUUGGAGCCCUUCUUCGCCAUUACCUCAAUCACACCUGCUCAUGCCGCUUUGUCAAUUGCUUCAUUAUCUUUGUCAACAUCCUUUUGCCGCAUUUUUUCAUCAAUUUGCUUUGAUUCUUCGCUCUCAUUCUCACCAUCAAUCAACCCAUCUUGCAGCUCUCUAGAAACCAUGUCUCCAUUACUAUGUGUUAAUGUCGGGGUCAUCAUCAUCUCUUCUCUUAUGAACUCCUUCAAUCUUUCAAUCAGCAAUCUCUCAAAAGGCUCUUACUCGAAUCUCACGUCGGUGUACCCAUACCUCACCACACACCGGAACACGUAAAGAUCAUCUGGGUCUACCUUGCGGAAGAGGAAUCCUUCCUUCAUUGGCACCUUGAUUAAAACUCACCUAAAGGAUUUGAUAUUAGGUAAAAGUCCAACCCAAACACCCUUUUAUGUGUCAUACCUUAAUUUACGUGUUGUAGAAAUGGCUUGUUGAGUUAGCAAUCCACAUCCCACGUAGGAUUCAUGAUUUUAAGGAUUUGAACUCAAGACCUACAAUCAAGCAAAACACAUAGAAGACCACUUAGGUUGCAUGCACUUUAUAUGUUUCUAAAAUAUUUAUAAUAUUAAAAAAUAAUAUUAUAUUUUCUAAAAUUCUAAAAUUAGUUAAAAUUAAAUAAUUAAUUUUUCUUCAUUUUGAAUAUAUUGACAUUUAAAUAUUAUACAUAUUUCAUUUAAUAAAAUUCAAAAUACUUAACAUAUUUAUACUUAUUUUUUAUAAUAUCAAAGAUAAAAAUAUAAUAUUAUUCAUUAUUUAUUUGUUUAUAUAUUUUUAAAUUUUUUAUUCUUUUUAAUUUUAAUAAUAUAAAUUUUAUAUAUAUGACGUCAUCAGUUCGACUAGACCACCGAUCUAAUUACUGAACCAUGAACCAUAACUUUUUUUGGUUUAAUGACCAAUUUUUGUCAAUCUCAAAUUCUUCUUCAACAUAUUCUAGCCAACAUUUAUCAAAACAUUUUUUCCUAAUUUAGAGCCCUUUUUUGCCAUCACCUCAAUCAUACCUGCUCGUGUCACUCUGUCAAUUGCUUCUUUAUCUUUGUCAACAUCUUAUUGGCGCAUUUCUUCAUCAAUUUGCUUUGAUUAUUCGCUCUCAUUCUCACUAUCAAUCAACCCAUCUUGCAGCUCUCUAGAAACCAUGUCUCCAUUACUAUGUGUUAAUGUCAGGGUCAUCGUCAUCUCUUCUCUUAUGAACUCCUUUGAUCUUUCAACCAACAAUCUCUCAAAAGGCUCUUCCUCGAAUCGCACGUUGAUGUACCCAUACCUCACCACCCACCGAAACACAUAAAGAUUGUCUGGGUCUACCGUGCGGAAGAGGAAUCAUUCUUCCAUUGGAACCUUGCUUAAAACUCACCUAAAGGAUUUGAUAUUAGGUAAAAGCCCAACCCAAACACCCCUUAAUGUGUCAUACCUUAAUUUAAGGUGUUGUAGACAUGUCUUAUUGUGUUAGCAAUGCGCAUCCCAUGUAGGAUUCAUGGCUUGUUGAGUUAGCAAUCCACAUGCCACAUAGGAUUCAUGAUUUUAAGGAUUUGAACUCAAGACCUACAACCAAGCAAAACACAUAGAUGGCCACUUAGGCUGCACUUUAUCACUUAAAAUGCAAAUAAAAAAAAUGUAUAUGUUUCUAAAACAUUUAUAAUAUUAAAAAAAUAAUAUAAUAUUUUCAAAAAUUCUAAAAUUAAUUAAAAUUAAAUAAUUAAUUUUUCUUCAUUUUGAAUAUAUUGACAUUUAAUAUUAAACACAUGUCAUUUAAUAAAAUUCAAAUUAUUAAUAUAUUUAUACUUAUUUUUUAUAAUAUCAAUGAUAAAAAUUUAAUAUUUAAAUUAAUUGCAUAUAUAUACAUGUGUGUGUGUAUGUAUUUUGUUAUUUUAAAAUUUUUAAAACUAUUAUAUUAAUUAAUUUAUAUUAUUUUUAUAUUUAUAAUUAAUAAUUAUUAUAUCAAUAAUGGUAGAUAUAAAUAUUCAUAUUUAUUUAAAUGUUCUAUAUGAUAAAAAUUUAAAAAUAUAUACAUAUUUUCCAUGCUAUUGACCAAAUAGCUUGUAAGUUGGUGGUCCUCCAACUCAUUAUGUAAACCACGUCCCAGGUUUCAAUUCUACAAAGCAUUUAUGUAGUAUUUAUACCUUCACAUCACAGGAGAAAGUAAAUUGCCAUAGAAUACAGGCUUGGAAUGAAGCGAGAAAUGAGCUAGAAAAUUGUGGAAACCCAUGUGGAAUUUUGGUUAAACCAUAAUUGACUGGUUCGUGAAAAACCUGCAGACAGUUUGUUCGAUUCAGCGAUUGAACUAUCGAUUCAUUAGGUCCAACAAGGGUUCAACCUCUGGACAGUCUAUUUCAUCAGAUCGGACUGAAAAGGCCAUCAGUCGAUGGUUAAACUGGCCGGUCUGAUCCUGUUUUCAAAACAAUAAAAUUAGGGUUGAAUGACACGUGAAAAAUAAUUUAUACAAUAUAAUGCUUCACUUAUAUUUAAAAUAGAACUCUUUCUCGUUCAAUAUAAGAGUUGAAAGCCACUAGAUAUAAUUUGAAUACUGAUUGACCAACCAAUUGAUCAACUGCUAAUCAUCAAGGUUACCAAAUCCUAACUAAUUCAACCGAUUGAGACCUAGGUUACAUAAAACAAGGCUAUAAGAAGCCAUGAUGAACAUAAGGAUUCAAAGAGAGUUCUAACAGUAUUUACCUAGCUAUGAUGAACAGACAACAAAAGCAUGCUAGUUGCAAAAGAAACUAUGAUUCAAGAACAUUUUAUGAAUGAGUUUUAUUUACAGAUAUUGACAGAAAACACCAGGAACUGUAUGUUAAAAGUAAUACAACUCCAGAAAUAUAUUGGCCAUUAUUGGAAUGAAUGACCCUUAUAAAAAAAUAAAAAGAGGUGCUGCAUUCUGUACUCUUGCACCUUGUUCAACACCCAAGAAAUAAAUAAAUAAAAAGGAAGAAGAGGAAGAAGGAGAAGAAGAAGGAACAAAGAUAUUCAGAACAUAUUUCUACAAUUAAAAAAUUUAACAGUCAGAUAUCAAUUCCCAUCUUAAGCCUAAUGCUAGAUAAUAGGCAAAAACAUAAUAUACAAAAGAUAAUAAUUAACAUUUUGAAGCCAAAGGCUAAUAUAAGAUUAUCACUCAAUUCGAAAUUUUACCACUUAUUACUUAUGACAUUAUUUUAAUAUUGGAGAUCAAAGUUCUGAAACAGGAUAAACUACUUAGUAUUUUAAAACAUUAUGCAGUCUUUAAUGGAUGUUGUCUCACGUAUCUCUCCCCUUUAAAAAAGCCAAUUAUUUUGCUGAACUGUUAGGUCCACGAUGACUAAUGAUUGCACUUAGCACUCAAUAGUUCUUGCUUUAUGUUCUUUAUCAAACAGCCAAUAGAAGAAGAUGAUCAUUCUUAGUUAUCAGACAAACGCUGAACCUAAAAAUACAAAAUAAUAGAACUUGAUGCUUACACUGAAUUUAAUGGGGAGAAUAACCUUAUUGAAAUGGACACGACUCAUUUUGGGACUGAAACGCUAAUAGAUUUUCAGUGGUCAUGGAUAAAGGUUUACAUUAGACAAUUUGAAGCAAGUUUCAUCCUUAUUAGGUUCAACCAACUAUAGCAGCAAUCAUUUAUAACACACAAAAUCUCCAAGCAUAUGGAGACUAGAAGGAUCAAGGUCAGUCAAAAUUCAUAUCUGAACUUUAAUCUGGAAGUUCAGAUAGAAGUUAGUCUUUAAUGAAUUUGUUAAAAAGUGUGUAGUAAAAAAUCCACACAUUUCAAUCAAAUUGACAACCUCUCAAUCAAGAACUUUCAUUUCCAAGAAAAAUCAAAGAUACAGCCCUUUGAAAUGAAACACAAAUAAAGUUACAUGAAAUACACCAGCAAUCUCAGAUAUUAAAAGUCUCAGGUACAUAUAAUGGCUAUAAACCAUUAUUAUAAAAUUUUCUGCAUAUAAGAACACCUAUAGUAACAGAAACAAGAACUGAAAAAGCUCCCUGCCUUGAAAGCCCAAAUUCAGUCCAUGUCAAGGGCCUUUUGACCUGAAAUAAUACAUUCUGGAACAGUUCAUUCAGAUCCUCCAGCGACCCAGUGUUCUCCUCUUCAAAUCCAGUGACAUCUGGGCAUUUAUCCUGUUUCUGGCAUCCUCCUCGGACGUCCUAUCCCUUGCCAACAGUCGCUGAAGUUGUGUUUCAGGAUCAACCCAUACAACAAUAAUGGGUUUUGUCCAGCCGUCCAUCUUGGCCUCAAACAACAAAGGGACAUCAAGAACAAUAACCUUAAACCCCUUCAUCCAUAGCUUGAAAACUUCCCAAAAAAUACCAGAUGAUAUAAAAGGGGCCAGUAGCCUAAAAAUGUAUAUAAAAACAAGAGUAAAAACUCAUAUAAUUGCAUCUUCAUUACAAGUUAAGGCAAUGAAUUAUGAUCAACUGACACUCAAAAAGAUUUAUUGUCUGCAAAUUGAUCUAUGAAAAUUCCAAACUCUUAAGAGAAAAAAUACACUAAUUCCACUAAGUUAUCUGAGUUGAAGUAUUUCAAUAGGUUAUAAGACUAAUACUUCCCUAUCAUGCAAUUAAGAAAAGAUUGGAUACACAUCUCUGUUGCAUAGAAUUGUAAACAUUUAUCAUUUUUAUCUUCAGGCAUUCAGAAGUAAACUUCGGUGGCGUUUGUUUUUUUGGCUUUUUGCUGAAAACAAUUUGCUUUCAGAAUUUAGGUUGUUUGUUUUUUUAAUUUUUGAUGACUUAUUACUGAAUUUUUAAAAUUUUUGACUAAAUAAAAAAAGCUAAAAUAUUUGGCUUUUUCUAUUUAGAAAAAGCCAAUUUUUUAAACCUUUACCAAAUGCGAUUGAACCCGAACCCGACGCCCAAACCUACCCACCCAUCCCUUGUAGCUCUCUGCAACCCCGAUCCUCAACCCUCACCUCAUCCCAAAGCAAUAAUUUCUUCAUUCUCCUCCUCCAUCGCUCUCCUUCCGGGACUAUAGAGUUGGAAAGAAGCUCCUCUUUCAUUCAGCAUCGUUGAUCUAAUCGAAGGUAACUGACCCAAAUUUAUUUUGGUUUUAGGAUUUCAAUAGAGCAUUCGAGUCUCAUUUUCCAGUACUUCUCUUUCUAAAACUCUCAUUUUCAAUAGAGCAUUCUGGUUCACGUGUUGCAGGUCCGUUUAUUUUUUUAGGAAGAAAAACUUUGUUUGGUGAUAUCUUAUUAUUUAGAGCCUAUUUGAUAUGGUUGUUGUCUCGUUGUUAAUUUGGGUUUGUUUGAUUGUUGUGAUUUUUGUGGUUUGUUGGGUUAUUUUUUAAGGAAGAAAAAUGUUGGGUUUAAUCUUAUUGAUUUCAUAUUAUAGUUUGUUGAGUAGAGCAUUUGUGCUCAAACUGUUUGUUAGAAUGCCCAUGAGAGUUCUUAAAUAACGUGGAAUACCCCCUCCAAAUGAUUGAACGCCAUUGAAAGUUGUUGCAGAGAUGAAAGGUUUCCCUGAAUGUUGGGGGUUUAUAGGAUUUUUUGAGUCCUCUUUGUAAGGUUGGAGGGGUUUGGAUCAUCCAAAAAUGGCUCCUACACUUGCCUACUGCCAAGCUCUUUGUAAGGUUGCAAUCGCCUUGAAAAGGGAUGAUUCCAUUUUCUUAGCUUUUGCUCCCUGUCCCUGAUGAAUUUUUCAGAGGAGUUUCAGCAAGGAUGAGAGCCGAUGCUUCACAGCCCUUCCAGAAACUGGGAAUAAAUAGAGAAAUUGAGUGUCAAAUGUGGGGAUGACAAGACCAAGUUUUCUUCCCGGAGGGAAAGCAUCUAACAGCUUCUCAACAUUUUCUAGGAAAUCAUCCAUCAACCAUUCAGCAUCUUCUUAGCCAUUGACCAAACUUCUACUUCAUUAGCCGUCGUAGAUACAAUGACAUACAUGUUGACUUGGUCAAUUGUUCAAGCUUAACCUAUGACUUUGGUUUUAAUUUAUUGUUCAAGAGAUUUUGAUUUUAGAUAAAUUAAAUUGGUUGGUGGAAUGAUGAUAUGUUAGAGCAACAAUAUGUUAGAGCUAGAGUGCCAAAAUUGGAGAUGUCCUGUGCCAAAAUUAGAGCAACUUCUCUAAUGUCCAGCCAUGUGACUAGCAGACAAGGACGACUCCUCUACCAACCAUGAGUCCAGCCAUGUGAACAUCUAGCAUAGUGACUUAUCAAGUGAGCAAACGCUAAGAAAAUGGAAUCAUAAUCUGUUCCCCACUCCAAUGCCAAGCUCUUGUUACCCUGUUUUACCCUUCCUUAAGUCAUUAGCAGCUGGAUUUUUAAGAAUGGUAUGCCUCCCAUUGCCAAAGAAAUUGGUAAUUCAAAUCAUUCCUUUCUUUUUCCACAAAGAUCAAGAUGGCUUUACAGUUCCUGUGAGCCCAGAAACCAAUUAUAGAGGAACCUAAUUCUAAAAUAAUUUGGCAUCUGAAAUGUUUAGUUUUACAUGAGCAGUGAUUUUUUUAUACAAUAUCCACUCAAUUUGCUGAGAACCCAAUUUGUUACCAAGAAGCAAUGAGGUUCCAGAAUCUUAAAGAUGGAUCAAAGGCAUGAGGCUCAAACAGAGCAUCUCCUCAUAUCAUUUUCUUCUUAAACCCCAAUGCUGAUUUUGGAGUUUUUAACAUAAUGCCAGGGUUUCUAUUGAAAAUGAGAAAUCUUGUGCCUCCUCUCUGAUUGUGGUCCCAUUUUUUUAUUUCUUUUUUCCUUUUCAGUCCUCUAACUUGUAAUUAUUAUGCCUCAGCUGUUUAAAGUCUGUUUAGUAAAAUCCAGUAUCUUUUUCUGUUGCUUAGUUGCUGUCUUACUUACCAUGCUUUCUUACUUCCCUAAUUCAACCCUAAAUCCAAAUUUAUCAUUUUCUAUUAUUAUUGUUAUUAUUUGUUAUUCCAACAUUAGUCAAAGGCCCUCACAAUAAAUAUAUGGAAAUUCUCAAUUCAUAAUAACUCUUUUGUUCUUUUAGAAUAACUAUAAAACGCAAUAGAAGGGUGGUAGAUGGUAGGUGGUGGUGUACGAGUGCCACGAGGCUAAGUGGCAGACAAAUAUUUAAAAAGAUAAAAAUUUAUCUUUUUAUCUUUUAGAAUAACUCCUCUUGUUCUUAUGAACAAGGCAGGAUAUAUAAAAAAAAAAAAAAAAUGAAGGGGAAAAAGAAAGCCUCCAUUAAUUCACACACUUAUCAGAUCCUACACAUUCAAUUCACCCUCCCCACCCAACAAGGAAAAGAACAUACACGACGAUUAUGGCAGAUUAUACACAUGGACAACACAGGCAGGAUGUGAUUCUUGCUGUAAACAUACGCAACAUCACUUUUACUCCAAGUUCCAAUCCAAAAUAGAUCCUCAAAAUGAGCCAUAUAUGCAUAUGUACCUAUCACCUCUUCUUCCGCCUAUACAUUAAAUAGAAGCUCCAUCAUUUACAAAGAAACAAUCUACAGAUCUCUGUACCCAAAACUUAGGUCCUGGCAGGUUAAUCAAUGCAGAUGGAAUGAGAUCAGCUGUCAUAGGUGUAGGGACACGCAGCACGUGUUAUCAGCCGAACCAUCAUCAUCUGGAUUCCCUUAAGGAUACGCAUGAUGAUGGUUCUCCUAUCCGGACCGCCUCAAGGAAAAGCACAUGACGUUUCAGCUUCUUCUGUCCAAGGAAGAGCAAACGACGCUGACAGAGCAUAGACAUCCGGACAACCUUCAUAAUGUAUCCGCUCCACUAUACAAUCCAGAUAGUCAGCAUGUGACCAUCCGGAUUUAAUCGUCCGGAUCAUCAAUUAAAGUAAAGCAAGUCUUACACGCUAUCACGACAACCAGCCAUGACCCACGUCCCAUCAUCUGUAGAGUGAAAGGACGGGUCGAGGUGACAACAAGUCACUUCCCGCGAUCAUUCUACAUGAUCAUUUCCCACGAUAUCUAGACAGCAGCAUCACCUACCACGGUUUCUGACAGCCGCCAGUAGGGUGGUGAUGACCAUGCUGCCUCCGAAUGUCAUCAUGACAAACAUAAAAUAUCUCAUCGCCAUUAAUGAGAGGAACAGUACCCCUGAAGCUGUAUAUAUAUACCUUCGCACGAAGAAGGAAGGGAUCCCCCCCUGAUAACUUCUUAAUACCUGGUAAAAGGCCAACUGAUUUGUACCUCUCGCUCUGAUCAUGGCUAACAAAACCAUUGGAGGGUGCGUCCGGACACCUUGUCCGGAUGCCUUCUUGCAGGUAUAACGACUGGAUCAAGAACCUGUAUAAGUUGAAAUCACGCGUCCAUCCAUCUGGCAACUACGUGGAUCCUCAAACACGCGAGGUAACAACAUUGGCGCCGUCUGUGGGAACUUUUCUUUACUUUGAUUCAGUCACUAAAAAAAAAAAAAAAAAAUGGCCACACCUUCCCAAAGUCGUUCAUCUGGUAGGGGAGAGGAUGAUAAUUUUGAAUGGCGUCUAGUCAUCGAAAGGAGACAGCUGGCAAGCGAAAGACAGCUAAAAGCUCUCCUUCAGGAGACAAAAAGAUUGAGAGAAGAAAACGUUGUGUUACGUAUCCAGGCUUCAACAUCAGAGCCUCCUCGACGUCAACGUUCGAGGGGCCAAGUAGCAAACUCAAGGCCUCAGCAAGAACCGGAGUCAAUAUACCCUGGGACAACAGGGGCAAUCCCAGGGGCAUGCAACGUGAGGCCUCAUGAACCACGCACGCCUAUGCCUCGAGCUCCCCAUGAGGAAAGCUCAGACUCUACUCACUUUUCAGCAAAAAGGCAACGUGAUAAAAAGUCGCGGUUGUCAAAUUCGAUGCGUGCAAGACUAGGCCCGCAAGAGCCUAGAAGAUCAAGGCCACCUAUGGCCACAACCUGGGCACCACGCCCUGACCCCAUGGCAACCCCCAUGGUGCAAAACGUUCACCCGCAUCGUGACCCCAUAGUCACCCCCGUGAUGCGGAACGUCCAUCUGCACCCAGCGGAACAGCCAACUGGGAGAAACAUCCCAAACGGGCCACCCGUUGGCUCCAUCAGCAAAAGGUUGGAUGACAUGCUCUUCACGCCUUUCUGCUCUCAUAUCAUUAACUAUGAGCCCCCAAGGGGAUUCCUCGUACCAAAAUUUUCCACAUACGAUGGAACCAACGAUCCCUUCGAUCACAUCAUGCAUUAUCGACAGCUCAUGACGCUCGAUAUUGGCAACGAUGCGCUGCUAUGCAAAGUAUUCCCCGCCAGCCUACAGGGACAGACCCUCUCAUGGUUUCAUCGCCUACCUCCCAACUCUGUUGGCAAUUUCAGGGACCUGUCCGAAGCUUUCGUGGGACAAUACUUGUGCUCCGCUCGACACAAACAGAAUAUCAGCACCCUCCAGAACAUAAAAAUGCGAGAUAACGAAUCCUUGAGGGAAUUUGUGAAACGAUUUGGCCAGGCCGUACUUCAAAUAGAGGCUUGCAGCAUGGACGCGGUCCUACAGAUCUUCAAACGAAGCAUCUGUUCAGGCACUCCAUUCUUCGAAUCACUGGCCAAAAAACCUCCUACAAUAAUGGAUGACUUAUUCAGAAGAGCCAACAAAUAUUCAAUGCUCGAAGAUGACGUACGUGCAGCCACCCAACAAGUUUUGGUUGCCGGACGGCCAUCCGGAAGUAAUACGGAGAGAAAUACCAAACCUCCGGAUCGGCCAAAGCCAUCUGACCGAAGGCAGGAAGGGCCAAGUCGCCCGGAAAUGCCGCCUCUCACACCUCUUUCUAUAUCAUAUGAGAAACUUCUCCCAAUGAUCCAAGGCUUGUCCGACUUCAAGUGGCCUAGACCCAUUGCAACGGACCCAUCUACAAGGGAUCGUAGCAGGAGAUGUGCCUUCCACAAGGAUCAUGGCCAUACAACAGAGACGUGCCGAUCUUUCCAGUAUUUGGUCGAAAGACUCAUAAAAGCUGGGCAUUUGAAGCAAUACCUCCGCAUGGAUACUGGGGGUAGGGACGUUUCCCAGCACAACAACCCUGGAGCCCCUAGGGCCCCAGUUGCCACCAAGGUCGUUAUCAACUAUAUUAACGGAGGACCAUCUGAAGAGGAGUAUGACUCCAGGCGGAAAAGGCAAAAAUUGUUGCGGGCUGCAUCAAUACGCGAACGCAUUAAUUCCAUCCGGCCGGGUCUAACUGGAGAGGGGCCUCGCCCCAUAGAUGGAACAAUAAUUUUUCCACCAGUAGAUCCCACCCGGACACUACAACCACAUCGCGACGCCCUCAUCUUGUCCUUGGAAAUUGGGGACUUCGAUGUGCGACGUAUCUUAGUUGACCCAGGCAGUUCGGCCGACCUGGUGCAAGCAUUAGUCGUUGGCCGCAUGGGACAUAGUCUCGCGGGCCUUGAAAACCCAGGACGAAUCUUAUCUGGAUUCAACGGAUCAUCAACCACAUCCUUGGGAGAUAUCAUACUGCCAGUCCAAGCUGGCCCAGUCACUCUCAAUGUACAGUUUUCAGUAGUACAGGAGCUAUCACCCUUCAAUGUCAUUUUGAGGCGCACAUGGCUCCACUACAUGAAAGCUAUCCCCUCUACAUACCAUCAAAUGGUGAGUUUUCUCACCAACGAUGGCCAAAUCGACCUAUAUGACAGCCAAUUAGCCGCUCGCCAAUGCUAUCAAAUAGCACGCGAAGCAGGGGCUAACCAGGAGGAUGUAUCUCCCCCUGAACCCAGCAUUGCACACGACCAAUAGCAAUUAUUGGGUCCGACGGACAAAGAUCCCCCGGCAGUAGAUCCCUUACAAACAAUCCAAAUUUCGGAGGAAAACGACCACCUCACGAACAUCAGUUCCCUCAUGACACAAGAAGAAACUCAAGGCAUGCAAAAUAUCCUCAGACAGAACCAUGACAUCUUCGCGUGGGCACAUUCUGACAUGAAGGGAAUUCAUCCCUCCAUUGCAUCUCACAGGCUUAACGUCUUUUCAACUGCCAGACCCGUCCGACAGAAGAUUAGGCGCUUCCACCCGGAUAGACAAAGAGUCAUCCGGAACGAGAUUGACAAAUUGCUCGAAGCCGGAUUCAUCAGAGAGGUUUCUUAUCCGGAUUGGUUGGCAAACGUAGUCGUGGUACCCAAAAAAGAAGGAAAAUGGAGAGUUUGUGUAGAUUACACCAAUCUCAACAAUGCGUGUCCAAAAGACAGUUUUCCCUUGCCGCGAAUAGAUCAGAUUGUGGAUUCCACUUCCGGGCAAGGGAUGCUCUCUUUCUUGGAUGCCUUCUCCGGAUAUCAUCAAAUCCCCAUGUCCCCGGAUGACGAAGAAAAAACAGCAUUCAUAACGCCACAUGGCCUCUAUUGUUAUAAAGUCAUGUCAUUCGGACUCAAAAAUGUUGGCGCCACUUAUCAAAGAUUGAUGACUAAAAUCUUCAAACCUCUGAUAGGCCACUCGGUAGAGGUAUAUAUUGACGAUAUCGUAGUCAAAAGCGAAACUCGAGAACAACAUAUCCUUCAUUUGCAAGAAGUUUUUUACCUCUUACGAAAGUAUGGCAUGAAGCUAAAUCCUUCCAAAUGCGUCUUUGGCGUGAGUGCCGGCAAAUUUCUAGGAUUUAUGGUCAGUCAAAGGGGCAUAGAAGUCAGCCCGGAUCAAGUCAAGGCAGUCAUGGAAACACCUCCCCCCAGGAACAAGAAAGAGUUACAGCGCCUCACAGGCAAACUCGUUGUGUUAGGGCGUUUCAUAGCCCGCUUCACUGAUGAGUUGCGACCCUUCUUCUUGGCGAUACGAAAAGCUGGAACGCACGGGUGGACGGGCAAUUGCCAAAACGCUUUGGAAAGAAUUAAACAUUGUCUUAUGCAACCACCCAUAUUGAGCAGCCUCAUCCCAAAGGAGAAAUUAUACAUGUAUCUGGCAGUGUCAGAAUGGGCAAUCAGUGCCGUUCUAUCCCGCUGCCCAUCACCCAAGGAGCAGAAGCCCAUCUACUAUGUCAGCAGGGCAUUGGCAGAUGUGGAAACCAGAUAUUCAAAAAUGGAGCUAACAGCCUUAGCCCUUCGAAGCGCUGCCCAAAAGCUCCGGCCCUAUUUUCAAGCCCACCCGGUGAUCGUGUUGACUGAUCAACCCCUUCGCAGCAUUCUGCACAAGCCAGAUUUAAUCGGGAGAAUGCUACAAUGGGUCAUCGAAUUAAGCGAGUUUGGAAUAGAAUUCCAACCAAGGUUGUCCAUGAAAGGCCAGGUAAUGGCUGACUUCGUGCUAGAAUAUUCCCGAAAACCCGGCCAGCAUGAAGAAUCAAGUAAAAAAGAAUGGUGGACUCUGCGAGUUGACGGAGCCUCACGUUCAUCAGGCUCUGGAGUUGGGCUCCUACUACAGUCCCCAACUGGGGAACAUUUGGAGCAAGCCAUCCGGCUGGGAUUUCCUGCCUCAAACAAUGAAGCAGAAUAUGAGGCCAUCCUGUCCGAAUUGGACCUCGCCCUUGCUCUAGCCGUCUCCAAACUCCGGAUCUUCAACGACUCACAACUCGUGGUAAAACAUGUCCAGGAGGAAUAUGAGGCUAAGGACGCACGCAUGGCGCGAUACUUAGCUAAAGUAAGAAACACCUUGCAGCAAUUCACUGAAUGGACAAUCGAAAAAAUCAAGCGAGCUGACAAUAGGCGCGCUGACGCUUUGGCCGGCAUAGAUGCCUCCCUCCCUAUCAAGGAAGCCAUUCUACUGCCCAUACAUGUGCAAACCAACCCCUCUGUCUCAGAAAUUUCAAUCUGCAAUACCAUUAAAGCACCCCAAGCGGACGGCCAAGAAUGGAUGAAUGAUAUCACAGAAUAUAUCCGGGCAGUAACUCUACCCGGAGAUCUCAAACAGGCACACAAAAUCUAGGUGCAAGCUGCCCGUUUUACCUUAAUUGGGGGGCACUUGUACAAACGAUCCUUCACAGGACCAUACCUUCGGUGCCUAGGACACUCAAAGGCCCAAUAUGUGUUGGCUGAGUUACAUGAGGGAAUAUGCGGAAAUCAUUCGGGAGAACGAUCUUUGGCACAUAGGGCUCAUUCGCAAGGAUACUAUUGGCCAACAAUGAAGAAAGACGCGGCAACAUAUGUCAAAAAAUGUGAUAAAUGUCAAAGGUACGCUCCCAUUCCACAUAUGCCAUCAACAACGUUAAAAUCAAUCUCAGGUCCAUGGCCCUUCGCACAGUGGGGCAUGGACAUAGUGGGACCUCUCCCAGCUGCACCUGCCCAAAAGAAAUUUUUGCUUGUUGCCACAGAUUAUUUCAGUAAGUGGGUGGAAGUUGAAGCAUAUGCUAGCAUCAAAGACAAGGAUGUCACCAAGUUUGUAUGGAAAAAUAUUAUCUGCCGUUUUGGAAUUCCCCAAACCAUUAUAGCCGACAAUGGUCCACAAUUUGAUAGCAUUGCAUUCAGAAAUUUCUGUUCGGAGCUGAAUAUCCGGAACUCAUACUCCACACCACGGUAUCCUCAAAGCAAUGGGCAAGCAGAAGCCACAAACAAAACCCUAAUCAAUGCCCUAAAGAAAAGGCUUGAGCAAGCUAAAGGGAAGUGGGUGGAGGAGCUACCCGGUGUCCUAUGGGCCUACCGAACUACACCCGGACGGCCAACAGGAAAUACUCCUUUCGCUCUUGCAUAUGGAAUGGAUGUCGUCAUUCCUACCGAAAUAGGUCUCCCUACUAUCCUGACCGACGCAGCAAAACAAAAUGAUGCAAACAUGGAAUUAGGAAGAAAUUUGGAUUGGACGGAUGAAGUGAGGGAAAGUGCGGCCAUCCGGAUGGCAGAUUAUCAACAAAGGGCAUCAGCACAUUACAAUCGUAAAGUGAAGCCAAGAAGCUUAAAAAAUGGUACGCUAGUCCUUAGAAAAGUUUUUGAAAAUACUACUGAAGUGGGUGCAGGGAAGUUCCAAGCCAACUGGGAAGGACCUUAUAUAGUGUCUAAAGCAAGUGACAAUGGAGCAUAUCAUUUACAAAAGCUAGACGGAACUCCAUUACUUAGACCAUGGAAUGUGUCUAAUUUAAAGCAAUAUUAUCAAUAAGAGAGCCAAGACGAGUUCAGAUGAGAAAAGAAAUAUUUUUAUUGAUAUAGCUAAAAAUAUGUACAAAGAGGUCUCCGGACCACAAAAAAUACAGAAGGAAGAUUACAGAAGAAGUUACAAAAAGAGAUAAACUAUCAGGGAGCAGGCUUGUCAUGUAGUUUCUUUUCUUCACCCGGAGGAAUUGAAGGCACGUCCCGCCUGAUACAGUUCUUCUUCAUGCAGCACCGAUACCCAAAGAUGAACGUAUCAUCCACUUGUUUUUGAUAUUCUGCUUCAAUUUCCUUCCUCUCUGCAGCAAACUCCCGUUCUAGCUCCUCUUUUUGUGCAACCAAGCGCAGCUGCAAAUCUUCCCUCUGUUUCCUUUCGAUAGAAACUUCUGUUCGGAGUUGCCUCACCUCCCCCUUCAGACCGACCACCUCAUCUGCUGCCUCAAGCAGACGGGCAUCCAUUGAUUCCUCCCGGGUCUUUGCGUCAGCCAAAUCUGCCCGGAGGGCCUCAUUCUCCCUCCGGGCGGUGGAUAUGCUGGCUUCAGCCUCCGCCAGUCUCAGACGCAACUGAUCUUCAGCAUCUUUGUGCCAAGUGGCGAAGGCCUUCACAUAAUCAGUAGUCCGGAGCAAGUCAGUGAAAAGAUCGUACUGAUUGGCCAUGCCACGAAGACCACUCACCAGCUGCAAACAAAUAGCCAAGCAAGAAAAGCAAAGUUAGAAAUCACACAUCAGAAUGACAAUCAAAAAGCACAAAAACAGUUUUACCGUUUCCACCAUCUCGAACAUCUGGGCUGAAGGCUUGACAAGGGGCAAGCCGGGUGGAAUAUGUUUUAGCUUCUCUUCCAACUCCGCGUAGCUAAAAGGGUUAGCAGAAGUGCAAGAUGCAUCAUUAACAGGAUUCCCCUCCGAUGAGGCAAGAGAAGAUGACUCUUGUUCCGGAUUCGGGACCUCAACAUUUACGGCCGGAUGGGCAUCCUCGGGUGCAACCUCAACAUUUCCGGCCAGAUGGACCUCCCCCGAUGCAACCUCAGCUGGGACCUCCGUCGGGACGGCUGCAGUCUCAGUUACCAUCUCCACUUCACCCCCCUCCGGAUGAGCGUCGUGGGCGGAUGUGCAACUGACUUCAAUCUCUUGCUGCCGCUCUUGAAGCCGCCCGAGGAGUCCGGACCUCAGGUUGCGCACCGAGCGAGGCUUCUUUGAGGGUGGCCCCGUCACCAGAACAAGAGCCAGCCGGUCCGGAUCGUCAGAGGGCUGACUCUGGCUUUCUGCUCCCGCUUCCUCCAUGGGGGUCGCGCAAACGGCCUCAGCUGCAUCGGCAUCCGGAUUGCGGGAGUCCGGAUGGUUGACAGACGCAGCUUCCUCAGCCAAAUUCGCUAGACACGCAACCGCUGCCAAGGAGGUGCUUGAGUGGUUCAGCCCCGCAAGGUGUCUGGACCCGCUUGAGAUGGAAUGAGGGGCAGCGUUCACUGGCUCCUCUAUCAUUACCUCCGCCUCAUGAAUAAUGGGCGGAGGAGCAAAUUCCAUGGGAGGACUGGGUUCCUUCAAGUCCUUCCCAUUUUUCUUCACCAGCUUCCUCCUUUUCGCUGGAAUUUUCUCUGGAGGAGAGUCUGCGUGACGAUUCUGUCCGGGAGCCUUCCGAAGGGUCCCUUCGUUCUUCUUCUUCUCCCGAUCCUCCAGGAGAAGUGGGCGUUUUUUAGCGUCAACCUCUUUUAACGCCUCGUAAAUCGGGAAAUCCUUCACAGUAUAAUGCUCCCCAGGAACAACUUCCUUUGGCAUCUUCCUGGGGAGAAUGUUGAUGACAUAUUCUCAGGGCUCCCGGACGACCGCCGUCAGGUUCCGCGCGGUCAGCAGCGUCUUGCACUGCCUCUCCUUGGCGUCUAUCUCGAACAAUUUGCUGAGACAGCCAAAGGACGCCUUCUCCACCCAGUCCACAAGGUGGCCCCUCAAUUCCGGACCUACAUUAACAGCAACAAAAGAUGAGAAUGCCAUCCGGAAGAGUCAACAAAAAAUCAACAAAGUAAAAACCGGACAAUAGUCACAAAAGCAAACUUACCCGGAACCUCCAAGGAAUAGUUUGGGUUGAAAGGCCUCGCCGGAUGCUCCAAAAGCCCCGCCCACGCACCCCGGACCACCACGUGUCCCGUCGCCCCUCCCUUUGUCGAAUCUGGCAGCUCUGUCACCAGUUGGAGGGAGGGCAGGUGUGCGGACAUGCUGAAGAUGUCAUUUUUUACCUUCUUCAAAGAAUACAAAAAAAACACCUCCAGCAGCGUGAGAUCGAGGUUGUACAGCAUGUUUAUGAUGCUGCAUCCCAUCAACACCCGGACGAUGUUGGGAUGAAUGAAGACGGGUGGAAUCUUGGUGAAGUGGAGGAACUCCUUGAACAACGCCGGCAGAGGGAACCGGAGCCCCGCGUUGAAUUGUUCCUUCGAGAAAAUGAUAGUUUUUUCUUCUGCUUUCUCAGAAGGCACAAGUACCCUCCCAUUCAGCAGUUCGAUAGUCACGUUAUUCGGGAUGCAGAACCGUUCCCGGAAUUCCUUCGCAUCCAGCUUAUCUAUCGCCUUUCCACGAACUUCGCUAGCCCCAGAAGAUGAAACAGUCUUUUUUGCAGCCAUUUCUUACCACAAACACAAGCCCAAACCUACACACAAGAAGCGCAAUGGGUAAAACACAAGUAACCCAGAAAAUACACAAACCCUAACCCAAACAAAUCAGAAACCAAAACCAAAGAACCAACAAAACGCAACAAAAGGAACAGCAAUAGCAAAGGUACACGUACCAAAUGAAGCUCUGAAGAAGAAAGGUCGUCGUUUCGAAUACAAGAACACCAGCAGCAAACAAAUGUCGCGACACAAAGUCACCGGUACAAAAGUAUUUUCGAGUUUCUUUACUCAGAAAAAGCAAAGGACGCAACAAAAGCAAGAAGAAGAAAGGCUCUCAGGAAAAUGCAGUAGAAAAAAUGAAAAAGAAGGUACAGUACGCUAUUUAUAGGGAGACCAGCCCUCGGAAAGCCAAACGUCCAAACAGCGCUAUCAUUGAAACAACAUGCUGCCUGGAAAUUCCCAGAGUCGGCGGCUCAUCAUAAAUGCCUUUUAUGGCUUCCGCACCCCCUCUCGCCACGUGGCCCAAUCAGACGAAGAGACCUCUUCAAAAUUCAAAAAGCCAGUUAUUUUUUAACCCGCCCAUUUUUUGGCAAAAUAGGCAAGUUAAAAAGGGGGGCAAUGUGGGGACCCCUCCCUCUGGGAAACACGUGGCACGCACCUCACAGUGACACGCAGCACGUGUUAUCAGCCGGACCAUCAUCAUCCGGAUUCCCUUAAGGAUACGCAUGAUGAUGGUUCUCCUAUCCGGACCGCCUCAAGGAAAAGCACAUGACGUUUCAGCUUCUUCUGCCCAAGGAAGAGCAAACGACGCUGACAGAGCAUAGACAUCCGGACAACCUUCAUAAUGUAUCCGCUCCACUAUACAAUCCGGAUAGUCAGCAUGUGACCAUCCGGAUUUAAUCGUUCGGAUCAUCAAUUAAAGUAAAGCAAGUCUUACACGCUAUCACGACAACCAGCCAUGGCCCACGUCCCAUCAUCUGCAGAGUGAAAGGACGGGUCGAGGUGACAACAAGUCACUUCCCGCGAUCAUUCUACAUGAUCGUUUCCCACGAUAUCUAGACAGCAGCAUCACCUACCACGGUUUCUGACAGCCGCCAGUAGGGUGGCGAUGACCAUGCUGCCUCCGAAUGUCAUCAUGACAAACAUAAAAUAUCUCCUCGCCAUUAAUGAGAGGAACAGUACCCCUGAAGCUGUAUAUAUAUACCUUCGCACGAAGAAGGAAAGGAUCCCCCCCUGAUAACUUCUUAAUACCUGGUAAAAGGCCAACUGAUUUGUACCUCUCUCUCUGAUCAUGGCUAACAAAACCAUCGGAGGGUGCAUCCGGACACCCUGUCCGGAUGCCUUCUUGCAGGUAUAACGACUGGAUCAAGAACCUAUAUAAGUUGAAAUCACGCGUCCAUCCAUCUGGCAACUACGUGGAUCCUCAAAGACGCGAGGUAACAACAAUAGGCUGAUAUUCUUCUUCGCUUGUAGCACCUGUAAUAGCCAUCACCAUCAUCUCUGCUCGCCUUAUGAUUGUCACCAUCCUUAAGCAAGCACUCUAAAAUGUUUUCAUCAUGAUUGUCAUCCUUAAGCAAACCCUCUAAACUGCAUUCAUCAUGAUCAUCAUCCUUAAGCAAGCCCUCUAAACUAUUGUCAUUAUGAUUAUCAUCCUUAAGCAAUAACUCUAACAUGUAUUGCUCUCUCUUUCCACCAUUUAUGAGUUGCUACUUCCCUCAAAAGCACCCCUUCACUUUCUCCCACUUUACAUAUAAUCCUUUUUAAUAUUUUUGUUAGAAAAAAUUAUUUUCCUUUUCUAUUUAGACAUACCAAACCAACUGAAGUUUAUUUUAUUUUAUUUUAUUGUCUUUAAUUGAAAAUUGAAAAUUAGUCAUUAAUGUUGGUUGGUUUUUUGUACAGUAAUGAGUCAAAAUAUUGAGAUUAGUAGGGCAAAUUGGACUGACCCCAUCCAAAGAAAGCACUUUAUUGAUCUUUGUCUUCAAGAGGCAAACAAAGGUUUUAGAUCAGGUGGAGGUUUAAAGUUUAGUGCUUGGCCUCGAAUUGCUGAAAAGUUGGAGAAGUUACUUAGAAAACGUUAUACUUCAAAACAACUUAAGAAUGGGUGGGAUUACAUGAAAAGACAAUAUCUCAUUUGGAGUAAAAUGAUGACUAUGACAGGACAUGGUUACAACUCUGUAACCAAAACUUUUGAUUGGCCAGCUGAAAAAUGGGAAGAAUAUCUACAAGUAGUUUUUUUUAUGGAUUUGAGUGAAUUUUAAAAAUAAUUGUCUUAUAUAUAUGUAUAUAUGACUAAUUUGUUGUUUAUCUUGUAAAAUAGAAAUAUCCAGAAACUAAACAAUUCCGUUUUAAACCAUUAGCAAAUGUGGAAGAAUUAGAGGCAUUGUUUGAAGGGGUGUUAGCUACUGGGUCUAAAAAUUGGAGCUCUGGGGGAGUGAUAGCUUCUGGGGCUGAGGAAUCAUCAACACAUUCUACAUCUAUGCCUAGCGAAACUUCAAUUAGUUUAGAAGAAGAUGAGGAUUUGCCAAGAAAUACUAAUGAUGAAGCAGAAGGUUCUAAGAAAAAACAGAAGAAAAAAUAAUUAUUCAUAAAUACUUCAUAAAUACUUCCAUGAGGUUUUAGUGGCCAUGGUGAAUUUCUCAAAAGAGAUGAUUACUCCUCCAUCAUUCAAUGAUAGUUCAAAUGGUAUCUCCAAUCGUCGGCUAAGACAAAUUUUUAAGGUACAUUAUUUUUUAUUUCUAAUUAUUCAUAUCAUAUUUGUAUUAUUCUCAUAUAAAAAUAAUUAUUUAUAUUUUAAAGAAUUAUUACCAUGUAGGAUGCUGUUGGUGCAAUUGAUGGAACUCUUAUCCAUGCAUGUAUUCCCACUAAUCAACAAGUACCUUAUCGAGGUCGUGGGAGAGGAGAGUGUUUUCAAAAUGUUAUGGCAGUUUGUGAUUUUGACAUGAUAUUUAGGUUUGUUGUUGUUGGAUGGGAAGGAACAGCUCAUGAUUCAAGAGUCUUGACAGAAACUAUUCGUAACCCGUAACAUAAUUUUCCAAUGCCCCCAUCAGGUAAAUAUUUUAUUUUCAUUUUAUUUAAUAUAAUUUGUAUUUAUUCAUUAUAAUAAUCAACUCAAUCCUUUUUUUUUCAGAAAAAUAUUAUUUAGUAGAUGCAGCAUACACACACACUCGAGGUUUUAUGGCACCAUAUCGUAAUGUGCGCUAUUGGUUGAGUGAUUUUCGUAGUAGUGGUAAAGCUGUAGGAAAAGAGGAGAUAUUCAACCAAUGUCAUGCAAGAUUAAGAAAUGUCAUUGAACGUGCUUUUGGUGUUGUUAAGGCGCGUUUUCCAACCUUGAAGAGAAUGGCACCUUAUUCGUUUACUACUCAAACAAAAAUUGUCAUGACAUGCUUCUCCAUUCACAAUUUUCUUCGACAAAUCUCAAUUGCGGAUAGAUUAUUUUCCGAAUAUGACAAUGAAGUGGAAUUGGAAAGUGACAAUGCCAAUCAAAAUCAAAACUCAACUACAAGCAGUUUUUUUGCAGCAUCUGAUCAAGAAUUCAUGCAACAGUUCCGAAACCAAAUCGCAAAUGAACUCUUUCAAGUGUUUAGUUAACUUGUCAUUUUUAGCUUUUUACCAUUGUAAGAAAUGCAAUGUUUAGAUAUUAGCAUAAAAUGUGAUGUCUUCGGAUAUUUGAAAAUAUGUACUUGAAUUGUUAUGUUUUUUCUUUAAUUUGAUUUAGGUUUUAUCAAUCUAUUAUUUUUCAUAUUAUUAAGUUUAAAUAUUUUAUUUUAAUUAUAUAAAAAAUAAAUAUAUUAAUUAUUUUUUGUAAGAAUGAUAAUGAUAAAUUAUUUAUUAUAACAAUUUUAUUAUUUUGAACUUUUUAAAAAUAAGUUAAAUUAUAUUUUUUUAAUACAUUAAAAUAUUAAGAUAUUGGUUUUCAGCAUAUAAAAAAACAAACAGCUUAAUACUUAAUAGAAAUAAAAUUUUAAAAAAACAAACAACUUAAUGCUUAAUGCUAUUAAGCAUUAUUUAGUAUUAAGUUAAAAAAAAGUUCUAUUUAGAAUUAAGCCAAAAAAACAAACGCCACCUUAAUCUAGAAACUCACAUAAUGUGAGAUGAAAAAGAUCAAAUCAAAUCAAAUUAUUUAUUCUUCCACUGAGUGGCCUUCCAGACCCACCAAAUGUAAAAUAUGGAAACAUUUCCUUUCUUCAAAAACAAUGGUUAGGCAAUGUUUAAUAUGUCAAUUGUGUUUGGUACCUUGAGUAAAUUCUGGAAUUGCAAAGAAUAGCCAGGAAGAAGCGGCAGCUUUCCCUCUCUAAGAUUCAAAAACCGAUAUCGUGAUUCAGGCAAAUGUGAGCCUCUAAUAAGUUCAUAGAUAGCAGCUCCCAAGGAGAACAUGUCAACGUUGUCAAGAUGGUCAUACUUGUCAUUCAAGAUUUCUUGUGGCAUAUAACGUGCAUCACCUUUCAUCAAUUGGAAGGCUUCUAUCAAGAAGAGUUGCACAACCAAAAUCACCAAGUUUGUAAACACCAUCUUUGACAUAAAUGUUACCAGGUUUCACAUCUAGGUGAGCUAUUCCUUUCUCAUGUGUAAAUUGCAAGGCCUUGGCAAUCUGUAGAUAAAUUUCAAGUGAAAAGAUGUUAACAAUAACUGAAAACUAAGGUCCUAGUAGAUAUUCAGAUGUUCCAGUUUCCAGUUUCCAUAGCAUUUUGGGCACACCAUUAGAAAUGGAGUCAUCAAAACAAAAAUGGAGCCAGAAAAAAGAUUAGAUUUAUCACAAAAUAAAAUAUUUUAAAAAAAAAUUAAAGAAAAACAAACAAACAAACAAAAAUGUGGUGUCACUUCUUGACACCCUGUAACUGGUCACAAAUUACAAGAAAUAGAUUUGUUAUACACAAUAUGGAAAUAAAGUAAAAAUAACUUGAAAUGCCACAGUAAACUACUAGAUACAAUUUAUCAGGAAACAAAUUUAGGACAGAGUCUAAGAGAAGGGUAGGAAAAUUGUUGAUUGAGUACUCAAAAUAUCUAUAGGUGCUCUAUAUAUGAAAUGAAUAUUUAUUAUUUUUACUUGAAAUGCCAUGGUAAACUACAAGAUACAAUUUAUCAAGAAACAAAUUUAGGACACAGUCUAAGAGAAGGGUAGGAAAAUUGCUGAUUGAGUACUCAAAACAUCUAUAGGUGCUCUACAUAUGAAAUUAGUAUUUAUCUGGCACAUUAGGCCUUUGCCAUAAAAGAAAUUAGAACAGACAAUUGAUUUUGGGCCUUUGGUUUUGUUCUGCUACUUUAGGUAGCAGUUGUCCAAAAUCAUCCUCUUACUUCGACUCUCAGCAUACUCUCUUCUAUGGGUCGCUCCAGUAUACAUUAGGUCUUUGUCAUAAAACAAAAUUAGCUUAGUCGGUUGGUUUUAGGCUUUUGUCUUUGUUUUCCUACUUUAGGCGGUGGUUGUCCAAAAUCAUCCUCUUGACUCUUGGCAUACUCUCUUCUAAGGGUCAUUCUUAUAAUCUGUUCUCUACAUGUACCAUAUGUUACAUCAUAUCACUUAUGGACUCAUUUUUAUGACAUGGGAGUCACAUAUGUAUCCUUGAAAAAAUACAUAUCAACCUUAUGCAUAGGUUCCAGGACUUCCCCUUCUGUGAACAAGUGAGAAGAUCUCUUGAUGGAUAAGCUGUGAUCACAAAGUGUAGUAACCUACAAUCAUUUCAUGAGAGGAACAAAGGAAAAAUGCUGAUUUUGGUUAGGAAAUGAACAAUGCCAAAUUUGUGGAGAAGAAAUUGUAAAAAGUGUAAAACUUAUGAAAGAUUUUAUACAGACCUAAAGCUGCCAAAGCUUGAACUUCCAUCAAAGCUUUCCUCCUGCAGAUAUUAUUGCAUAAGAAAGCUGCUCAGACAAAUACUACAAAUACCAAGCAUGAAGAAGCUACCUUUCUGUGUCUUGAUGCAAUGGUCUUGUGCUAUGUUUCACUGCAUACAUGCAACCAUCAAUUCUCUUCAGAACCUUGAAAACACGACUGAAGUUCCUGUCACCGAUUUGAUGGGGAAAAAACAUUUUAAUUGCAAAAUAUCCAAGCCCCAAAAGCUUGACCAUAUAGAUUGUGAAUACUAUAAAAAAAAAACCUAAUACUUCCACUUAAGUAUAGAAAUACUUGGGGUUUGGUUAGAUACCUCAAUCUCAUGGAAAUCUGUGUGAUAUCGGGAAAGGCUAUCUCCACCAAUAAGUGCAGGGAAAAAACCUGUAGAUUGCAGCCUUAUUCAAUUAAACCCAAGAUAUAAAAAUGAAACCAGAACAGACACUAUGAUAAUCAGCAGUAACCCCACCCAACCCCCAACUAAGUUAAAGAAAAAGGAACGAGAAGUUCCUGGAGAUAUCAGAUGAUAAGAAGAUAAUACUACGACUCUAAAUAUUUCUUAACUUUGUGAUGCAAUAUCCGAAUGAUACAAUCCACUCUAUUCUUCAUGAGCUCAUAAAUGAAUCCAUUUGUUGAUUUAUAGCAUUACAUAGAUGAAUUAAAUUUUUCAUUCUUCAGCACUAUAAUGUAAAAAAUAAACGAAUUGUCCCCAAUUUCAGUGAGUUUUGCACAGAUACAAAAAUAAUAAUCAAAUUGAGCUUGCAAUUCUCCAAUCAAAAUACGCCAUUCAAAAACGUGAAAUUUACCAGAAGAAGUCUUGGCUCAGAAUGAAAUCUUUGUUAUCGACAUCAUCGUCGAUGUUGUCGGCGGCGGUUACGGAUUCCAGAAGAUUCUGGAAGCGAGAAACUUGACCUAGCUGAACCGUCAAAUGCCUUCCUAGGGUACCCUUCAUUUCGUUCCUCUGUCUCCUCCUACUGCUUCUCUCUAGGUUUUUCUCUUUAUCAACAGAGCUCUCCCUCUCUCUCUCUCUCUCUCUCCUCUCACUAAAACUCUCUCUGUAAAUACGUUCCGAAAAAAUGGAGGUUUUGAAAUUUCGGGAAUUAAAAAAUAGUGAAAAUUUAAAAAAUGCGCGAGUUUGGCAGAGAUUGUAUGAAUCCAGUAUUGUUGAGCUUAAAAUGCACCCCGCAUCUCCUUUUGACACGUUUCCAAAUUUGGGGAUUGAGGAAGUGGGAGAGUAUUCAACGGUUUGGAUUGGUUCUUGUGGUGAAGCAAUUUAUGAUGGUAGCGUACCGCGUCAGCCUUGUAGUUUUGUGGUUAUAUUGAUUUGAUACUUCCAAGGCAGUGCGGUUGUAGUGGGCCGAAGCAUAAAGCCCACUACAAAGGACGGCCCACAAAUUUCAAAUUGCUUUUGUGUAUGGCAGGCAAAGUUGCUGUCUAAAUAUGACAACUCUUUCGUCGUUAAUUUUUUUAAAUUAUUUUUAUUAUAAACUGUAUUAUAAUGUUUAAUUUUUUUUCCAACAAUCAUUUUAGAAUCAUAUAAAUUGUUAAAAAUCUAUUGAAAUAAAAAAUAAAUUAGUUAAAAUUUGAUUAGAAUUCUUUUUCUUUUUUGGUUCUUUUCUUCUAGUUAAACUUUAUUUUUAAAUUAAUAAAUUAUAAAAUAAUGUUAAAUAUUUUUAAUUAAUUAUUGACUUAUUAGAUAUAAUUUUUAUUUAUUUAUUUAUAUGAAAAUUUUCAUGUGAUGAACUCUCAUUUAUUAGGAAAUUAUGAAAACUGUAAUUUUUUUAAUUUUUAUGAUCUUAAAAUUCUCAAAUGGACCUUAAUUUGAAUGUUAUUAAUUAUUAAUUUAUUUUUUAUUACUGUUGUAUACUGUAUGUAAAUAAGUAGUCUUCAUCCUUAAAAAAAAUUAUUUUGUUUAUUUGUAUUUUAGAAUAAAGAUAUUUGAAAAACAAUUAAUUAAAAUAAAAUUAAUUUAAUAAAUUGUAGAACAUCCUAAAAUACCAAAAUUUACUCCGUUGUUGUUUCAUAUAAUAAAGAAAAAUAUUUGAAAAUUAGUAAUUUAAUAUAUUUCUAAAUAUCCUAAAAUAUCAUAAUUGGAUUGUAAUACAAAAGUUUAUAAUGAUGAAUGAUAUGAUAACUUAAAAAAUUGGUAAUAAGAUGGUAAUUAGGAUUUCUAAUUAUGUUCAGUUAAGUAAAAAACAUAAAGUUUUUUUAUGUCAAAUUCUAUUUAUUAGUAAUUACUCCGUGUUGUGUGUGUAUAUAUAUAUAUAUAUAUAUCAAAUUUAGAAAAUUGUGAAUUUUUUUAUAUUGACUUUUUAUCCAAAUUAACUAAUUUUUAUUUUAUUAAAUUUAUGUUUUUAGUAAUAAUUUUUUGGAAAAUAAAGAAAAUGACAAAAAAAGAUUAAUUAUAUUCUUUUAUUUCUUAGGAUAACUUUAUUAAUUUAUGACAAAUUUAUUUUUGAGUCAAAUGUAUAAAAUUUAAGUAUGACCUAGUUUUUUAUUUUUAAAAUAAGAAACUUUUGUACAAAAGUAGAGAUAUUAAUGAGUCAUUGAACUAUCCAUAUGGUUGAGAGUUCUUACCAAUGUUUUUAGAAUCGAACCGAAUAUUGAACCGAAAAAAUUACUGGUUCACGGUUCACUAAUCGGACCGGUAGUCAAACUGGUAAUGUCAUAAAUAUAUAUUUUAUAUAUUUAUUAAAAAUAAAAAUAAUUAUAAAAUAUUUAAAAUAUAUAAUUAAAAAUUAAAUAAUAUUUACAAUAUUAUUUAUUCAUUUUUAUAUACAUGUAUUAAUGGUUUAAAUUUAUUAAACAAAAUAUAUACAAUAUUUAAAUACGACAAUAUAUUCAAAAUGGUAACUAAAAAAAAAGUUGUAUUUAUAUAUGAAAACAAAUUGAAAAUGAAAAAAAAAACAUAUGUGAUAUAUAUAUAUAUAUAUAUAUAUAUAUAUAUAUAUAUUAUUUGAAAUAGACUAUGUAGUUAUUUUCUGUUAAAAAUUAACACAAAUGAGCUUGUGGUUCUAGGUUCAAACCCCCUUGUUGUAGUCCGUAGGAAAAAAGUUGAUUUUUGCUUUUAAGUCCUUUUACCUUAUCCCACAUUGGAAGUAAGAGGAAAAAUAAAGUGCUUUACAAAUCUCUUCCCAUGUAACUCAAGUUGGACAGUCAAGCCAAGUGGUUGUUGGGCCUUAUGGCUCAACUCUUGAUUAAGGGUCCAUUUUACAGGAUGGGUGUGGGCAAUGAAUGUUAGGCCGGGGAGAGGAUACAAUCCGUUUUGCCAAAAAAAUGGGUAGGCCAACAAUGUUGGGUCGUGAGGGAAUGGACUAAAGUGGCCCACUUAGUCAAAUAAAAGUUGGGGUGUUGAACCGUUCGGUUCUCCAAAAACCGUCCGGCCCGCUAAUUGAUAACCGGCCUAAAAGGGGGAACUGGAUUGGAACGGUUGUACCGGCCGAUUCGGUCCGGUUUUUAAAACACUGGUUCUUAUAACUUUGGCACAACACAAUUAUAAGGGGCAUGUUGUGCCACCGAGCUAAUAGUUCAUCAUACAAGUCUUCCAUUAAGGACCCACUAUACCAAGAGCAAGAGAAACUUCAUCAUUAUUUUGUCUUUUUUGGGCUUCUAUGUCACCACAUAAAAGGGUACAACAUAAUAAUGACAUGAGUUUGGUCUUACUUCACCUUAUAGGUGGUGAAUAUGGUGAUGGUCAUUUUUGCAAAUUGAAGCUUAAAUAAUGUAAGUGACAAUAUAGAAAAUGAUAUAAUAAAAAUCAAUAUAAGAACAAAUUGCAAAUAAAUAAAGAAAAUGAGAGGGGGGAGGGGGAGGAGGGAAUACAAACUCAAAAUUUUACAGCAAUUUGACACAACUCAACUUACAUUUACUCUCCUCAAGUUUUCAAUCGAGUGACAGUUUUUUUAACAAGGCUUCUAACUCAAACCUUCAAGUUUACAAUGGACUAUAGUUCCAAUCAACUUUCUUGGACUUCUAGCUCCAAAUACCUUUUUGGAUUAUUGUUUUAAAUAUACUUUAUAACAAAAAAUUUCAAUAUAAAGCAUUGUUUUCAUAAUCAAACCAGUGACAUCAUAAAUAUAUAAUUUAUAUUUUAAUAAUAUUAAAAAUAAUGAUAAGAAAUUAUAUAUAUAUAUAUAUAUAUAUGUAUGUAUGUAUGUAUGUAUGUAUGUAUGUAUGUAUGUAUGUAUUUUGUUAUUUUAAAAUUUUUAAAACUAUUAUAUUAAUUAAUUUAUAUUAUUUUUAUAUUUAUAAUUAAUAAUUAUUAUACCAAUAAUGGUAGAUAUAAAUAUUUAUAUUUAUUUAAAUGUUCUAUAUGAUAAAAAUUUAAAGAUAUAUACAUAUUUUCCAUGUUGUUGACCAAAUAGCUGUGUAAGUUGGUGGUCAACCACUCGUUAUGUAAACUACAUGUCCUAGGUUUCAAUUCCCCUCCAUGUGAAGCUUAUUUUAUUAUUAUUAAGGCCUAACCUAUCUCACAUUGAAAUUCCUACAAAGCAUUUAUGUAGUAUUUAUACCUUCACAUCACAAGAGAAAGUUAAUUGCAAUAGAAUAUAGUAAAUGAGCUUGGAAGGAAGUGAGAAAUGAGACAGUUCAAACUCUAGACGGUCUAUUUCACCAAACCAAAUCGAAAAGGCCAUCAGUCGAUGGUUAAACCGGUCGGUCCGAUCAUGUUUUCAAAACAAUGAAAUUAGGGUUGAAUGAUACACUAAAAUGAAAUGCAAGUUUAAAAGUAAAUGCAGAUCUAAAAACAUUCUCUUAAUGCUUCAAAUAUAGUUAAAAAACAAUUUAGAACUUGUUAGCCCAAGGGUUCUCCUAAUCGAGUUUUGAUAAUAACAAAUCAUGGUUAAGUGACUAAUUGUUUUAAAUGGUAAAGAAUCUGAGGUAUAAAUUCAGAAAUUCAUCAAAUGACCAAAUGGAUACAAGAUCAAGACUUUGGGAAGACUUUUGAUCAUAGGAAAUGAAUGUAAGAUGAAUGCAUGGGUGCACUUAGGAUUUUCAUACCGUUUCAUGCAUCUUAGAAAACUUGGUUUAUCCUUUAAAACUUCGAUUUCAUUAAAACCCAAGUUUUAACAAAUGUACCUUGGGCAAAAAGUUUUAAAAUUGACAUAUUAUUUCACCUAAAGACCUUGCCCAAGUGUUAGAAAAGAAAGGAAUUGAAAAAGAUAGGUUUUCGGGGCCAAAAGACUGAACCGGUCGAGACUCUGGCCAAACGGCUCAACCGGUUGUCCUUGUCCGGUCGAGGUCCAGUCGAGGAGUGCCAAAAACACUUUCUCUCAUCCAGUAACUUCAUCUUCCCAGUUGAGGUCCGGUCGAGACAACGAUAACCUGCCAAACAUUAAAUGCUCUAACGACUAGUGAACCAGUUGAACCCUAGCUCGACCGGUCGAGGCUCUUUUUUGCUGUUUUUGGCUCCCGAGCUUAGAAACCUAUAAAUUGAGAGCUCCACUUCAUUUAUGAAUAAGAGAACACUUGCAAUCAAUUGUCUACCUACCUGUUCUUAACCAAAAAGCUUUCAUUUCUUUCUUAGUGCAUUAAAUCAUCACUUGCAUAUCCUUUAAUGCACUCUUGUGUGUCAUCCUAGCUUUGUCUUGUAUUUGAGUUAUCUUUAAGCUAGGUUGAGGGAUUCAUUCUUGUAAAAACUGAGUGUUAAAGCCUUCAAGAGGUUUGAAUCUUGAAGAGAUUAUGUAAGAGCCCAUUAGAGCCGAAAUCCAAGUGUAAGAAGAUUGGAAGCUUGGUUGAAGCUUCAAGUUAGUGGAACCCUUACUCAUUUAGGAGAUUGAGGAGAGUGGACGUAGGCAAGGAAGUUCUGAACCACUAUAAAACACGAGUUUGAAUUCUCUAACUCUAUCUCUUUAUUUUUGUUUAUAUUGUGCUAGAACUUGUUGUGUUUGAAAAGAUAUUAAAAAACCUAAUUCACCUCCCCCAUCCCUUUUUGGGUGUUUUUCUUAAUUAAGCAUAUCCUUUAUUUUCUCAUAACUCUUUCUUGUUCAAUAUAAGAGUUGAAAGCCACUAGAUAUAAUUUGAGUAUUGAUUAACCAACCAAUUGAUCAACUACUAAUCAUCAAGGUUACCAUUUCCCAACUAACUCAACCGAUUGAGACUUAGCCUAACCUUGUUGAACCAAGGUUAUGCCAGUGAUUGGAGCUAAAUAUGUGCUCCAAUAUAAUAUAAUUUAUACAAUAUAAAAAGUUCAAAUCAUCAAACUUAACUUAAAUUGAUGCUAAGAUCCUAACUAUGGAUCUAACUUCCAUUUUUGAACCUAAUUCUAGAUUUAAGGGGUAAAAAGAAUGCUUAGUACAAAUUUCAUUCUCAACCAAGGGAGUAGAAAAUGUUAAAUAUACAUAAAUGAGAGACUUUGCUCUUGUGAACCAUAAAAAGUCCAAAUAAAAGCAUAAUGAGAAAACCAUAGGCAUGAGAUACUAGCAACGAAUAUUAUGAAAUGAGAUAAAAGGCAAGCAAUCAUAAUGAAAGAAGUUUGAAGCAAAUACAAUCAAAUUCACAUGGAAAUUUGGAACUCAAAAAUUGGCCACAACAAGCACUCUAAAUUUGAGGUGAAAUUUAGAGUACUUUCCAAAGUCAUUUUUGAGCAUGUUAUAUUUCAUUUCAAAGUUUGGGAAGUCAAGAGUCCAACACUUCAUAUUAUGUGCAAAUCAAAGCUGAAAUGAAAAAGUUAUGUGUGUUAGAAGCAAAGUAGUAGUAGGUAAGUUCAAAAUUCAAAAUGAAUUAUGAACUCACCAUGGUGAUUUCAAAUUUGGCACUUUUUUUCCACUUAUGAGUUCAAAAUUGAUUUGUGUUAAACUAAGGUUUGGUUAAUCUCGAUUUUGAUGAUAACAAAAUAAGGUUUGAAACUAAUGAUUAUAUUUCAAGUAUGAUUAGGAAAGACGAUUUCCAAAGUGGCAAUUACAAAAAUAAAAUCAAGUCAAAGAGAAAUCAAUUAGAAAAAGAAGACCUCAAAGAUAAGUGUUUUUCAAGACUUAAGUUUCAUAGGAUCUCUUUAUAAAGUUGUUGGUGCACUAGGUCUUUCAUGCAUUACAUUAUUAAUUUAUGCACCAAAAUCAUCCAGAAGUAAUUUUGUUUUAAAUCCUUUAAAAUCUGAUGAUUUCAUGUUUUCAACUAAAACAUUGUAUUAAAUAUUUUUCAAACUUGUUUAAAAGGUUUUAAGUUGAAAAUGAUAGUUGUUGAGCCAAAAACAACUCAAUCGGUUGAACCAAAUGAGGAAUCGGUCGACCUAUUUAGCUCAACUGGUCAAAUGAUACAAAAACUUUCUCUUUCUUCUAUACGGUUGUUUAACUAGUUAAGGUUGAACCUCAACCGGUUGAAGUUUGGUCAAAGGGCGGUCAAGGUCCAACAGUCACUUGCCAAGUAUUAAAUAUUAAAGGCUAGUCAAUCGAUUGACCCCCUACUCAACCAGUCGAACCCCCAAUGGCUAGUUUGGUCGUUUUCUUCUAUAAAAAGGCUUCAAUCUUUAUUAUUUCAUGAGCUUAACCUUCCUAAACAUUUCUUGAAUAUAUUUGAGUCUUGGGCAAGUGUUUUUUAGUACACUAUUAUUUUAAAACUUGCAUAUCAUUAGUGCAUCAUUCAAUCCUAUUUUUCUUGUAUCAUUUGAGCCUUAAAGUUUUGUACUAGGAUUUUGUGAGAUCAUUUAUUAUCUUCAUUUGUAAAUCUAUGAGAAGAAAAGUCUAAGUGUAAAGUAUCACUUUGGGAUUCUCAAGUGUGGGGUAUCACUUGAGGGGUUGUUCAAGAGUGGGGUAUCUCUUGAGAAGUGUAAAGGAUACUUAGAGCCAAAAGUCCAAGAGGGUUGAUUGGACCCAUAAUUCAAUUGUAUUGUUUGAAGGUUUGUUUUGGAAGCCUUGAAUUAGUGGAACCUCAAGCUUAGGAUUGAAGCUAGAGGAGAGUGGACGUAGGUCGGGUUGCGCCGAACCACUAUAAAAUCUUGUGUUUGCAUUCUCUUUUUCCUUACUCUCUUACCUUAUAUGCAAUUAUUUUUAUAUUAUUUUAUUAUGUAUUUGCAUAUAAUUAUCUCUUGCAUUCACAUAAUUUAAAUUUGCAAAAAGAGACUAUCACCCUAUUCACCCCCCUCUAGGGUGAUUACCAUAGGUUGGAUUUGCCUAAUUUUUCUAACAAUUUGGAACUCACCUCAAUUUCGAAUUCAACCAUUGGUGAUCAAGUUUUGAGCUCUAAAACAUACCAAAAAUGAGUUCCAAAUGCCUCAAUCUAAUUCAAAAUGCAUUUUACUCAUUUGGAACUCAUAAUAUUUAGAGUUUUUUUUAGGUUUUUUUUUUAUAAUUUUUCUCCAUAAUAAGUGGACAAUGGAAGUGUAUCACAUGUUAGGAUAUUGAAUUUAUUAAACUCUUUUAUUUCUAGGUUUUGAAGGAGGAAAAGAGGAAGAUAGAAUGUAGGGAGUGAAAUCUCCUCUUAAAAGUCUUUAAUAGAGUUUUAGGUUUUCUUUUCUUUUUCAAUCUUUCUAUUUUAUUUUCUUGGCAACCAAACAUGGGUUGUAAAAAGAAACCCUCUAUCAUGUUUGGCUAACUUGAUUGAUCCAAAUCUGAUAACAUGAUGAAGGUGAAGAAUCCAAAGAAAAGUAGCAAGAACAUGACAAAAUAUGGUUUUCUUUAUGUUUUCAAGAUUUAAUUGAUAAGAAUAAAUCUUUUACAUGAGAUCACUAUAGAUAAAUUACAAAUGAUUCUUAUCAAGAUAGUAGUCAUUCUUGAGAAGACAUUGAUCACUAAUUACUAUAAUUUGGUCUUACUAUUAACGAAUUUAAGGGUCAAAUCUACAAAAAUGGAUAUAGGCUUUGAUUGAAUAAAAUUGAAAAUCAAAAUUGACCAUCACCUAUCAUUGUGAGUUUGUGUUGGGGAAUGAUAUAGUAGAUUAUUACCUAAUACUAGUGAUUUUUGGUAACUUUUGAUCAUUAGUUAUCUUAAUCUUCUUUAUCGUUAUUUUUUCCUAAAAUAAAGCUACAAGGAGUAGGAAAUGUUAAAAAGUCAAACUUUGAACCAAUAAUUAACUUUUAAUCUCAUUCACUUGAUGGUUUUAGAAAUAUGUUUUAAAAAGAAAAAAAAAAGUUUUGGAUGUAACAUUAAUCUUAGGAUUCAAUUUGGUUGUGGAUUGACUUUCAUCCUAAACCCUAGAUUUUAUAAUGCUAUCCUUCUAAGAAUUUGACACUAGAUUAUGAAACUCUCUAGAACAUUCUUUUUUUAAUUUGAUUUAUUUCAUUUAAUAUUCAAGAAAUCUUUAUUCUUAUUUAUUUAAAUUAGGAUUUUAUUAUCUUAAACAAAUAAUUAAUCAUUUUAAUCUAAAAACAAAUAAACACAUUAUAGCUAAUUCCAAAGGACCACACCCCAAAAUAUUACUAAGUCAUGGUAAUUCUAUCUCUGUUUUUUCUUAGCUAGAGUUAUCUUACAAUAAAAUUGAGCAUUUUUUAUCUCCUUAAUUAGCUGAGUCUAACCAAAUUAACUAGUUCUCUUGUACCUCAAUGGAUUGCACAUUUUUAAGACCGAAUUAAGGUUGGUAAACCUCGAUUAAUAGCUCCUCAAUCUUUCAAAAACCUUUCAAAAUAUUUUACUCACAUUAAAACUUAGAUUUUUUCCUUACAUCAAUUGUUUUCAUCUAAUUUAUAAAAGAGUGCAAAACAAUUUAGCACUUUAAUGACUUUAGGUGCUUAAGUAAAAAUGAAAUGUAAUAUGAAUUAAUGAACCAAUAACUUUACAAACAGAUCUUAUAAAAAUUAACUUUAAAUACCAUUUUUAAGGUCUUAUCUUUAUUAUUGAUUUAUUUUCGACUUGAUAAUUGUUUUUAUGAAUAUAUAUAUAUAUAUAUUCCGCAUCUAGUCCUUCACUAAAGACCUCUUUCUGUAGUUGCAUUUUAACUAAGCCUCCUUGAAAUUUUGUUUUCAAUAAUAAUUUAUGUGUUGAAUUUUGGCUAUACAUGCUUGUGAAGAGAAGUAUUGUUGCUACAAUUAUUUAGCUAUUCUCGCUAGGCACAACUGUUUUUUUUUUUUUUUUUUUUUUGUUUCGCUUGAUGCUGAUAAGACAUUUUGUGAUCAUCUCUUUCUUCAUGAUUCAAAGCUCAUAAAUCAUUCCUACUUUCAGCAUACGUUUGUGUGGAAUGUCGAAUGUCUUCUCCUUCUGUCUCAAAUUCUUCUUCAAGAUAUUAUAGCCAACAUUUAUCAAAACCUUCUUUCCUAAUUUGGAGCCUUUCUUUGCCAUCACCUCAAUCUCACCGAUCAAGUGUACCACACCUGCUUGCGUUGCUCUGUCAAUUGCUUCAAUAUCUUUAUCAACAUCUUCUUGGCGUCUUUCUUCAUCAAUUCGUUUUGAUUCUUCAUUCUCAUUCUCGCCAUUAAUCAACUCAUUUUGCAACUCUCCAGAAACCAUGUCUUCAUUACUGUGUGUUAAUGUCGGGGUCAUCAUCAUAUCUUCUCUUAUGAACUCCUUCAAUCUUUCAACUAGCAAUCUCUCAAAAGGCUCUUCCUCGGAUCGCACAUCAGUGUACCCAUACCUCACCACACACCGGAACACAUAAAGAUUGUCUGGGUUUACCCUGCGGAAGAGGAACCGUUCCUCCAUUGGAACCUUGCUUAUGGGGAGAGACUUGAUUGAGACGAAAACAAGAACUGAAUGCAAUGCAGACACAUUUUCCAUGUAAUGCUUGAAGAUGGGCGGGAUGCCAUGAACAAGCUCAGAGUAGAAGAUGGCUAGUCCUGGUAUUCUACUAAAGUUUGUGCUCGCUACUAAUUCCUUCACCAUCUCAGGAGAAAUCUUGUGAUCCAGAUCAUAAUAGUAUUUCCUCCGGUACACAUCAUUCCAAAUGUACAUUAUGGUCAUCAGAACUAAGGCAAAGGCCAAGGGUAGAUACCCGCCUUGAUCAAACUUGUAAAGGACUGAACUUAGAUACAGAAGCUCAAUGCUACCAAUGACCACAACAUAUGAGAUCACAAGUAGGAUAUGGGUUUUCCAUAUCAUGAUCAUCACAAGAACCAGAAAUGAUGAGGUGAGGGUCAUCACGAACACCACCGCAAUCCCUACACCAACAAAGACUCACAAUCAUGAUCAUUUCGAAAUAUCAUGCACCAAGCUCGAAAAAAGUUGAAAAAUGAAGAUCUGAAAGAAGGAUGGGUGGAUUACCAUAUGCAUUUCCAAUCUUUGUGGUAGUCUUGAACCCAACAGUGACCCCUACACAAGCCAGCAUGAGAAGGUAAUUGACCUCAGGAAUGUAUACUUGCCCUUCAUACUUAGUCGAUGUAUGCACAAUCUUCACCCGAGGAAAGCACCCCAGCGAGAGCGACUGCUGGAUAAUGGAGAAAGUCCCGGAAAUCAUUGCUUGACUGGCAAUGAUUGAUGCGGACACAGCCACAACAAACAUCGGCCAGUACAGACCAUCUACACCAAAGAAAUUAACCCACCUAAAUAAACCAAUAAAAGAACCAACAAGAAGACAGAAAACAUACUCUAAUGCAAGAAUGCUUACGUGGUAUGGACUUAAAGAAAAUGUCACCAACAUCCUCAUGGUGUUUCCGAAGAAAAGAGGCUUGACCAGUAUAUGCCAAUACAAGAGCAGGGUAUGUGAUAGUGCACAUACUUAUCUGUAUCGAUUGAACUGUGAAGUGGCCAACAUCAGCAAACAGCGCCUCCGUCCCUGCAUUUCCCGAAAACAAUCUGAGAAAUUUCUCAAGUUAAUGAUGGAGGAGAAUUGAUUAAUGAUCCACAUCCAAACCUGUUAUGGAGAGGACGACCCCACCAAGGGAAAUCCAGGCUUGUUUCUUGUUCCUUCUGAAGUAAUCGAUGAUGUACUUGGGAUUAAUGGCUUUAACAACUGUUGGAUCAAACUUGAUGAAGUUGUAGACCCCAAUGCCGCUAAUUAACGCGAACCAAACACAGAUUAUUGGAGCAAAACUGUAUCCAACUUUGUCAGUUCCAAAUCUUUGAACCAUGAAGAGGCAUACCAAAAUGACUACUGAUAUCCAAACAAUCAUAUCUGUUUGCACAAAGGAAAAUGGUAUUGAAAUUAAAAUAAAAUUUAUUUAUUUUUUCAAAUUGAGGAACAAAAAUGAUCAAUAACAUGCUUAUGUAACCAUUUUUUUUAAAUUAUUUUAAGAUGAUAAGACACUUUUAUUGUAUUUAAUAAGUUAGACUAUUACCUUUGUAUAUCUGCCAUGACUAAGGAAGUGGACAAGUCAAAAUGUUAUUAAAAAUAAUUAUAUGAGGAUGUUAUUGUAAUUUGAAAGGAUUAUUUUAAAUUUGUCAACAAUGCAAAGUUGCAAACCAAUUGGUUUUUUUUUUUUUUUUUUCCUUUUUGUUUACUUAAAAAAAGGGGAAAGAUUCCAAGUUAAUGUGGCCAGUUGAGAUUUCCUAAAGUUAUUUAUAUAAGCCAUUGGAUUCAACACUUUUGUCCACACUUUAGUAGUCAAAAUUGUACGAUCUCAUUUAUUAUCAAUUAAUUUGGUCCAAUUCAAUUUCUUUUUUUAGGGUUAUUUAAUUAAAAGAAAUAAAAUAAUUACAAAAAUACCAUUCAUUUUUAUUUUAUUUUUUGUAAAAAUAUUUUUUUAAAAAAAUUUAUAAAAAAUUAUCCAAAUAUUAAAUAAAAAUUUAUUUUAGUAGUUGAUUUUAAAAGUUGAGAAAGAUUACCUUGUGUCAUUGAAUCCAAUGCUACCUUGAUGCCACCCACAGCUGAUAAAACUGUGACAUGCAAAGUCAAAUGUCAAAUACACAACAUGAAAGUGAAGGAGGAAACCCAUUUUCCUUGUCAGCUAAAAUCCAACUAAAUUAAUUUGCAUCACAAUUUUGGUUUUUGUGAAAGACGCCAAUCCUAAAUAUUCCUACCCAAUAAGAAAACUUAAUAAUAAAGAAGAAAGUUGAAUGCAUAUUCCCCCAUAUAUAUGUUUUUUGGUAACAAAAAUUUGUGAAAGGAAAAGCCAUUUAUUAUGAAAGAAGGAAACCUUUUAAUCUCAAACUAAAAAGGAUGAUGUAAAUUAUGGUGGCUUUUUACUUUCCAAAAGUAAGAAAAGUAUUUUCAAAUUAAAAAUUGUGAUGUGAAAACAAAGAUGAAAAAAAGAGCUCUUUUAAAAAAUACGUUAAUAAGGGGGAAUAAAGCAGAAGUAUUUCAUUAAAUUUGUAUGUAAAUGUAAAGAAGAAGGAUAAAAACUAAGCUAACCUGAGAUGCAAGGAGUGAGGACACCAUCACCAAUCACCAUGGAAGUGCCAAGCAUUGUGGCAAACAACAGAAAGAGCUUAGCAAAGUUGCUCUUCUCUAGCUUGGACUUGAGCUUUGAUGCCAUCUGCAGUCUUUUACUAGGCAGCUCCAACCGGAAAUUGGAGACUUCUCUGUCCUCAGCCUGUUGACUAGGGAUCAGCCCCACCUUGGCAUAUCGGCAUAUAAGAGAAUACAAAGCAAAUGUCCCUCCUGAAAAUAAUAAUAACACAAAUGUGAUAUUCAUCACCUAAGCUUAAUGGGUUAUUUUCCUUUUUCGGAGUUAUAAUGUGACCGUAUAUUUAGAGUUGAAAGGGAAGAAAAGAUUAUAAAAAAGAUUCAUUGGAUUGAGAGCACAACUGUUGAUCAUUGAUUAAGCACAUAAGAGGGAAGUUUCCCUUCCCCAUUUGGAGCCUGCAAGGUUAUUUUAACGGCUAAGUCACACAAUUUGUUCCAUCACAGUUGGCCUUCAAAGGUGUUUUCCACUCAUCCCAUCAAUGAUCAAGACUAGCAAAAAUGGCAAGAAAAGAAAAGGGAAAAAAGAAUCACAGUUGGUUUGGAAAAGUUUUAAGAUCAAAGUAGCAUCUUUCUAAUAAGAAAAGAUGAUGGGUUCAAGCCAUAAAAGAAAACAAAAAAAGGAAAAGGAAAGAUAGAAAAAGAAGAUCAAAGUAGGAUUCAUUUGAAUUAAAAUCAAAGGUCAUUCAUGAUGAUGAGCUCUCACCACCGCCAUUAUCAUUGGCCUUCAAAACAAUCAAGACAUACUUGAAGAGAGGGAUGAGGGUGAGGGUGUAGAAGAUGAGAGAAAGAACCCCCAGAAUAUCAUCAUUAUGUUUGACACCAUCAGUGAAAGUGCUUGCAUACACGUACAAAGGCGAAGUUCCAAUGUCCCCAUACACUAUUCCAAUGCUCUGAAACGCCAGGUGCAGUAUCACAGACCAGUUCUUGGAGCCCUUCAAAACAGAAAAUAAAAAGAUAAAAAUAAAUAAAUAAAAUAAAAUAAAAAAUCAAAUCUUCUUUUUCCCAGUUACCAUGCAUGCAGAUACAGAAUAACAAGAAAAUGAUAUCAGGAAGUGGGGGUGCAGACCCUGGAGCUAUGGUGGCUUUGGCCAUGGACAGUCCCGGUCUCCAUGUCUAAGGAGUCCAUACGACGUAGUUCUCCGCAUGAGAGUUUCUUUGAUUUGAGGCCUUGAUCAUGGGUCUCGUCAGGGCUGUUUACCACAUCAGAAGACAUUUUCUAUGAUCCGAAAAGGGCUUUGAUUAGCCUGGAGGUUUAGCAGAAGGAGGAGAGGCCAAUUUAAAGGCACAGAAAGGUCUGAAAGAAGUGAAGAAGAAACAUGAAGUUCAAGGUGGGAGAUGUCGAUGGACAUCCCCCAAAUGUUUGCUUCUUGGUUUUACGCUUCUUACCUUCCUUGCCCUGCCCUGACUUUUGGUUGACAACCGCAUGGUUGAUUUUAUGAAUUAGUAAAUGAAAUUAUGAGUGUCCUUCUUCCCCAUUUAUUUUCCAAAUUUAGUAGAAAACGCGUCAUCAGUGAAUGGUUGAAUGGUUGAUAUCAGAAGCCAAUAAUUUGUUCUUCAAGUUUGGCAUUUUCUAAAUUUAUGAUAUUUUUUAUGGUAUUAAUUAAAAGAUAUUUUUCAUGGUGAUAAUUAAAAGAUAUUUUUGGAAAGAUGACUUCCAAUUAUAUUCCUUUACAAAUUUGAAAAUAUUUUUUGAAUUAAUAUAUUACUAUAUUUAUUAAAUUCCCAUCAAAGAAGCCAUGUUGCUACAAUUUUUUUGGCUAUUCUAUCUAGCUACAAUUGAUACUAAUGGGACAAUCUUUUGAUGCCUUCCCAUGUUUCAAAGCUCAUAAAUCAUUCCCACUUUCAAUAUACGUUUGUGUGGAAUGUCAAACACCUUCUCUGUCUGUCUCAAAUUUUUCUUCAAGAUAUUGUAGCCAACAUUUAUCAAAACCCUCUUUCCAAAUCUGGAGCCCUUAUCUGCCAUCACCUCAGUCUCACCGAUCAAGUGCACUACACCCACUUGUGCCGCGCUAUCAAUUACUUCAAUAUCCUUCUUAACAUCCUGUUGAUGUCUUUUUUCAUCUAUUUGCUUUGAUUCUUCUCUCUCGUUCUCACCAUUAAUCAACCCAUCUUGCAGCUCUCCAGAAACUAUGUCUCCACUAUUGUGUGUUAAUGUCACGGUCAUCAUUAUCUCUCCUCUUAUGAACUCCUUCAAUCUUUCAACCAGCAAUCUCUCAAAAGGCUCUUCCUCAAAACGCACAUCGGUGUACCCAUACCUCACCACACAUCGGAACACAUAAAUAUCAUUUGGUUCUACCCUGCGGAAGAGGAAUCGUUCCUCCACUGGAACCUUGCUUAUGGGGAGAGACUUGAUUGAGACGAAAACAAGAACUGAAUGCAAUGCAGGCACAUUUUCCAUGUAAUGCUUGAAGAUGGGCGGGAUGCCAUGAACAAGCUCAGAGUAGAAGAUGGCCAAUCCUGGUAUUCUACUAAAGUUUGUGCUCACUACUAAUUCCUUCACCACCUCAGGAGAAAUCUUGUGAUCCAGAUCAUAAUAGUAUUUCCUCCGGUACACAUCAUUCCAAAUGUACAUUAUGGUCAUCAGAACUAAGGCAAAGGCCAAGGGUAGAUACCCUCCUUGAUCAAACUUGUAGAGGACUGAACUUAGAUACAGAAGCUCAAUGCUACCAAUGACCACAACAUAUGAGAUCACAAGUAGGAUAUGGGUUUUCCAUAUCAUGAUCAUCACAAGAACCAGAAAUAAUGAGGUGAGGGUCAUCACGAACACCACUGCAAUCCCUACACCAACAAAGACUUGCAAUCAUGAUCAUUUUGAAACAUCACUAAGCUCGAGAAAAGCUGAAAAAUGAAAAUAUGAAAGAAGAUGUGGGUAGAUUACCAUAUGCAUUUCCAAUCUUUGUGGUAGUCUUAAACCCUGCAGUGACCCCUACACAAGCCAGCAUGAGAAGGUAAUUGACCUCAGGAAUGUACACUUGCCCUUCAUACUUAGUCGAUGUAUGCAUAAUCUUCACUCGAGGAAAGCACCCUAGUGAGAGAGACUGCUGGAUAAUGGAGAAAGUCCCAGAUAUCAUAGCUUGACUGGCAAUGAUCGCCGCUGACACAGCCACAACAAACAUCGGCCAGUACAGACCAUCUGCACCAGAGAAACCCCACCUUAACCAAUAAAAAAACUAACAAGAAGACAGAAAACAAACUCUAAAGCCAGAAUGCUUACGUGGUAUGGACUUGAAGAAAAGGUCAGCAACAUCCUGAUGGUGUUUCCGGAGAAAAGAGGCUUGUCCAGUAUAUGCCAAUACAAGAGCUGGGUAUGUGACAGCGCACAUACUUAUUUGAAUUGAUCGAACUGUGAAGUGGCCAACAUCAGCAAACAGCGCCUCCGUCCCUGCAUUUUCCCGAAAACAAUCUGAGAAAUUUCUCAAGUUAAUGAUGGAGGAGAAUUGAUUAAUGAUCCACAUCCAAACCUGUUAUGGAGAGGACGGCCCCACCAAGGGAAAUCCAGGCUUGUUUCUUGUUCCUUCUGAAGUAAUCGAUGAUGUACUUGGGAUUAAUGGCUUUAACAACUGUUGGAUCAAACUUGAUGAAGUUGUAGACCCCAAUGCCGCUAAUUAACGCGAACCAAACACAGAUUAUUGGAGCAAAACUGUAUCCAACUUUGUCAGUUCCAAAUCUUUGAACCAUGAAAAGACAUACCAAGAUGCCUACUGACAUCCAAACAAUCCUAUCUGUGUCCAAGAAAAAAUUUAUUUGAGUUAGAAUCAUUAUUUAAAUAAAAUUAUAAGAAAUGUAAGAAAUAAAAUUUAUUUACUUUUUUCAACUGAGGAAAAAAAUAAAAAAUAAAAUAAUAAUAAAGAAAGAAUGGUUAAUAAUUUAUUGUAUAUAAUAAUAAUAAUAAUAAUAAUAAUAUGAUUACAUAUAACCAUUUUUUUUAAAAAAAAUUAUGAUGAUGGGAAAUUUUUAUUGUAUUUAAUAAUUUAAACUUUUACCUUUUCAUCAGUCAUGAUUAAGAGGACAAAUCAAAAUAUUAUUAAGAAUAAUUAUACGAGGAUGUUAUUGUAAGUUGAAAGGAUUAUUUUAAAUUUGUCAACAGUGCAAACCCAUUAUUUUAUUUAUUUUCUUUUUCCUUAAAGAGGGUAAAUAUUCCAAGUUAAUAAGCCAUUGGAUUCAACACUUUUUUCUACACUUUACUAGUCAAAAUUGGACAAUCUGAUUUUUUUAUCAAUUAAUUUGGUUCAAUUCAAUUUUUUUGUAAUUAAAAGGAAUAAAAUAAUUAUAGAUUUACAAAUCUUUAAAAAAAAAAAAAUGACCUACAAAAAUACCAUUCCAUUUUUUUUUGAAAAAAUAAUUUUUUUUAAAAAAAAUUAUAUAAAAAUUAUCCAAAUGUUAAAUAAAAAAAUUAUUUUAGUAGUUGAUUUUAAAAGUUGAGAAAGAUUACCUUGUGUCAUUGAAUCUGUGACUUCCUUGAUACCACCCACAGCAGAUAAAACUAUAACAUGCAAAGUCAAAUGUCAAAUAUAUAUACAAUAAAAGACUGAAGGACAAAACUCAUUUUCUUUGUCAACAAAAAUUAAUAAUAAAGAAGAAAGUUGAAUGCAUAUUCAACCAUAUACGUAUAUCUACUUAAAUUAGUCAUAAGUAAUUUUCAAUGAUAAUAAAAGAUAACUUUAGAAAAAGCUAAGCACAAGAUGUUUUUUGGCAACAAAAAUUUGUAAAAGGAAAAGACAUUUAUUAUGGAAGAAAAAAACCUUUUAAUCUCAAAUUAACUAAAAAAGGAUGAUGUAAAUUAUGUUUGUUUUUUAUUUUCAGAGUAAGAAAAGCAUUUCCAAAAAAUGGUAGUGUGAUGUGGUUUUUAUUUUCCAAAGUAAGAAAAGUAUUUCCAAAAAAAAUGAUAUUGUGACAUGGUUUUUAUAUGAUUUUUACUUUCCAAAGUAAGAAAAGUAUUUCCAAAAAAUGGUAGUGUGAUAUGGUUUUUACUUUCUAAAGUAAGAAAAGUAUUUUCAAAAAAUAUAUGUGAAAACAAAGAUGAAAGGGAAAAAAAAAAUCCCUUUUAAUAAAUGCAUAAGGAAAAAUAAAGGUGUAUGACAUUAUGUCAUUAAAUUUGUAUGUAAAUGGAAAGAAGGAUAAAAACUAAGCUAACCUGAGAUGCAAGGAGUGAGGACACCAUCACCAAUCACCAUGGAAGUGCCAAGCAUUGUGGCAAACAAUAGAAAGAACUUUGCAGAGUUGCUCUUCUCUAGCUUGGACUUAAGCUUUGAUGCCAUCUGCAGUCUUUUACUAGGCAGCUCCAACCGGAAAUUGGAGACUUCUCUGUCCUCAGCUUGUUGACUAGGGAUCAACCCCACCUUGGCAUAUCGGCAUAUAAGAGAAUACAAAGCAAAUGUCCCUCCUGAAAAUUAUCCAUGGUGUUUAAAAGAAGUGUAUUCUAGGCUUAAUGAGCUAUUUUCCUCUUUUUUUGAGUUAUAAUGUGAACCACAUAUUUAGAGUUGAAAAGGCGGCAAGGAUUUAAAAAAAAAAAAGAUUCAUUGGAUUGAGUGCACAAUUGUUGAUCAUUAAUUGAUCAACCAGAUACGAGGGACCCCAGUAGGAGCCUGCAUGGUUAUUUUCAAGGGCAAGUAUCACAGUUUGAUACAUCAAAGUUGGCCUUCAAUGGUGUUUUUCACUCAUCUCAUCUAUGAUCAAGACUAGAAAAAAAUGGCAAAAAUAAAAAUAAAAAUCAAGAAAUUAAUAAACCAUUUUGCCUUGUUGGUAUGGAAAAGUCUUAAUAUGUGGCAUAUUUCUAAAAAGAAAAGAUGAUGGGUUCAUGCCAUAAAAGAAAAGAUAGAAAAAGAAGAUCACAGUACGAUACAUAUAAAUUAAAAUCAAAGGUCGUUAAUGAUCAUGAGCUCUCACCAUCGCCAUUAUCAGUGGCCUUCAACACAGUCAAGACGUACUUGAAGAGAGGGAUGAGGGUGAGGGUGUAGAAGAUGAUAGAAAGAACCCCCAGAAUGUCAUCAUUAUGUUUGACACCAUCAGUGAAAGUGCUUGCAUACACGUACAACGGCGAAGUUCCAAUGUCCCCAUACACUAUUCCAAGGCUCUGAAACGCCAGGUGCAGUAUCACAGACCAGUCCUUCGUAUCCUUCAAAACAGAAAUUCAAAAAAAAAAAAAAAAAAAAUCAAAUCUUCUUUCUCCCAGUUGCCAUGCAUAAUAACGAGAAAAUGAUAUCAGGAAAGGGUGGGGGGUACAGACCUUGGAGCCAUGGUGGCUGCGACCAUGUACAGUCCCGGACUCCAUGUCUAGGGAGUCCAUACGACGCAGUUUUCCCCAUGAGAGUUUCUUUGAUUUGAGGCCUUGAUCAUGGGUGUCGUCCGGGCUGUUUACCACAUCAGAAGACAUUUUCUAUGAUCUGAAAAGGGCUUUGAUUAGACCGGAGCGUUUGCAGAAGGUGCAGAGGCCAAUUUAAAGGCACAGAAAGGUCUGAAAACCGCGUGGUUUGAUUUUAUGAAUAAUGAAUGAGUAAACGAGAUUCCGAGAGUGUUUUUUUACCAUUUAUUUUUCAGAUUUAUUGGAAAACGCGUUAUCAGUAAAUAAACUUCCCCCAUAUUAGUCGGAUGGUUGAUAUCAGACCUCUUCUUGCCUUUUCUAAAUUUAUGAUAUUAAUUAAUAUUUACUUUUUGAAGAUACGACUUCUUAUUAUAUUCCUUUACAAAUUUGAAAAUAUUUUUUGAAUUAGUAUAUUACUAAAAAUAUUUUUUAAUUAAUAUAUAUACUUAUAUAUAUUUUUUAAAUCCUCAUGCCUACAAUAAAAAUGAUAUAUCUUCAUGUUUAAAAACCUUUUUCUAUUCUUACGUUUUAAGUGCAAAAACAAUUUUAAUAUUUUUAAUAUUUAAAUAUAAAAAAAUUCAAAUGUUAAAAAGAUUAAAAAAAAACGUUUUUUAAAAUCACUAUGAUUCUAUUUUUUUUUUUACUUUGUUUUCCAUUUUAAAAAUAAAAAUAAACAUUACAAUAAUUCUUUUUUUAAUAAUUAAGUUGAGAAAAAUAUUACAUUUAUAAUUUCUUUCAUCAUUAUUUUUUUUCUAUCAUCACAUUCAUUUAAUUAAUAAAAUUAGAUUUAAUUAAAUUAAAAAAUAAUAAUGAUUUUAAAAAAUAUUUUAAAUCUUUUGUAGUUGGCUAUAUUUAACUGCACAUUAAUAGAUACCCAAAAUUUAUUAUUUAAAAAAAGGUAAUAAAUUAGAGACAACGACAGCGCAACCCUACUCUUGGCUGUGGAAAGGACCAUGUACUCACGUGAUAGAAAGUUGAGAGGUGUCCAACAAAAGACGCGAGUGAAUUGUCCACAUGCAUGGGGGCGAGUAGAACUUUCCAAUGGGGUGAAAAUUCUAAAGCAUCACGUUCAGAUCGGUCAUAGCCACGUGUUACACGCAUUCUUUCUGCAUCAUCACAUAUCACAGGAAGCCUAUCACAGGUUGACCCUAAGACGGAUUGGGUAUAUUCAUGGGCCUUGUUUGGAAAAUAUAAUAUCAAAAAAAUCACAGCAAUCUGAGUUUAAAAAAUAUAAAUUUAAGUAGCUUUUUAAAAAUAAUUAGGAUCUUAACAUUUUAUACACUUUGGUGUACAACCUUUAUCUUUAAUAAUUCAGAUACUACUUUUUAAUGGGAUAAGUUUUAUCUAUUAUAAUUUUAAGUAUCAUCUAUUUUAUGAUUAAAAAAAAGUUAAAUGAACACAAUAGAUAAAGUGAUAAAAAAAAAAAGGACCAUGAAAUGAAACUUCUCCAUAUAAGAAGAUGCAUAAAAAAUAAUAAUUAAAAAGAUAAAAUUAUUGAUCUCUCUCCUCCCCUUCCUAAAAGAGGAAAUUGAUUAUUGUUCUUUUACAUUAUAAAGAUAGAAUUCUUGUCAGAUUUAUGAACAAAUAUAAUAUCUAAUUUUUUUUUCAUAAUGGAAAAGGCGCUCUCUCUCUCAUCCAAAGAAGAGAACAUUGACUAUUGCUCCUUUACAUUCAUAACGAUAGAAUUCUUUAGAAUUCAUUAACUAAUAUAAUGUCUAAUUCUUUUCCAAAAUGGAAAUGGUGGAUUGAAACGUUACCCUACCAAUGCCAAAACUAUCAAAUAAAAUAUGCCUCUUUUUCUCUCUUUCUCAUCCCCUUACUAGAAAAGGAAACUAGUUAUUGCUCUUUUGCAUUAUGGAGAUAAAAUUCUUAUCAAAUUCAUGAACUAACAUAAUGUCUAAUUCCUUUCUGUAAUGAAAAAGGCGCUCUCUCUCUUUCAUCCAAAGAAAAGAACAUUGGUUAUUACUCCUUUACAUUCAUAGAGAUAGAAUUCUUCAGAAUUCAUUAACUAAUAUAAUGUCUAAUUCUUUUCCAAAAUGGAAAUGGUGAAUUGAAACGUUACCUUGCCAAUGCCAAAACCGUCAAAUAAAAUACGCCUCUUUUUCUCUCUUUCUCAUCCCCUUGCUAGAAGAGGAAAUUGGUUAUUGCUCUUUUAUAUCAUAGAGAUAGAAUUCGUGUUGGAUUCAUAAACUAACAUAAUGUCUAAUUCCUUUCAAUAAUACGUGUCAACAGGGGAAUAUCAUGGACGAAUGAUAAAUGUGCACGUUUAUGUGUUUUUGUUUGAUGUCAGAAACUUAUUAGUCAUCUAAUACAAAGAAGAAAUGGUCACAACCUAAUGCAAUCUACGUGCCAAACCUAGAAACCUGGAAAUUGUAAACGUACAAACCUUGAAAUUCAGAACUUCCCAGAUUAUUAGGAAAAUAAAUUACUGGCAAACCUGUAUUGAAGGGACUUCUUGAAUGCUAUCCUCACUGUCAACCAAACUUUAUCGCUGAUAUCUGUUUCAUGUCACAACCAGCUACACCAAAAUGAAAGUGACUUCUUCAUUAGCACUGCAUUCCAUCACAAUAAAAAUUACAGCGUCCUCAAGAUUUUCUUUGACAAUUUACACAAUCUGCACCAUGCUGAGGGGAAGAAUGGUGCAUACAGUGGACAAAAACCUAUUGCCAAAAUUUUUGUGACUUCAUAAUCUUUUCCAUCCCUUGUUUGCUGGACCAGAAAAAUAUAAGUGUUUGCAUAUACGAUCUCUUAAUCAUAGCUUCCAGUUCCAUUCAAAGUUCAAUUGUUGCAAAAUGACCUUACUUGGUUUUGGCAUUUCUUUGGAGCCUGUCAAAAAUUGGAUUUUCUACCAGUUCUUUAGCUGAAGGCCGCCAAACUGGAUUUGGAUCCAGCAUUGCCUGGUAGGAUUAUAUAGGUGCUCUACAAAUGAAAUGAGUAUUUAUCUGGCACAUUAGGUCUUUGCCAUAAAAGAAAUUAGAACAGACAAUUGAUUUUGGGCCUUUGGUUUUGUUCUGCUACUUUCGGUAGCAGUUGUCCAAAAUCAUCCUCUUACUUCGACUCUCAGCAUACUCUCUUCUAUGGGUCGCUCCAGUAUAUAUUAGGUCUUUGUCAUAAAACAAAAUUAGCUUGGUCGGUUGGUUUUAGGCUUUUGUCUUUGUUUUCCUACUUUAGGCAGUGGUUGUCCAACAUCAUCCUCUUGACUCUUGGCAUACUCUCUUCUAUGGGUCAUUCUUCUAAUCUGUUCUCUACAUGUACCAUAUGUUACACCAUGUCUAAGGAGUCCAUACGACGUAGUUCUCCCCAUGAGAGUUUCUUUGAUUUGAGGCCUUGAUCAUGGGUCUCGUCAGGGCUGUUUACCACAUCAGAAGACAUUUUCUAUGAUCCGAAAAGGGCUUUGAUUAGCCUGGAGGGUUAGCAGAAGGAGGAAAGGUCGAUUUAAAGGCACAGAAAGGUCUGAAAGAAGUGCAGAAGAAACGUGAAGUUCAGGGUGGGAGAUGUCGAUGGACAUCUCCCAAAUGUUUGCUUCUUGGUUUUAUGCUUCUUACCUUCUAUGCCCUGCCAUGACUUUUGGUUGACAACCGCGUGGUUGAUUUUAUGAAUUAGUAAAUGAAAUUAUGAGUGUCCUUCCCCAUUUAUUUUCCAAAUUUGUGAAUGGUUGAUAUCAGAAACCAAUAAUUUGUUCUUCAAGUUUUGAAUUUUCUAAAUUUAUAAUAUUUUUUAUGGUAUUAAUUAAAAGAUAUUUUUGGAAAUAUAACUUCCAAUUAUAUUCCUUUACAAAUUUGAAAAUAUUUUUUGAAAAGAUAUAUAUAUAUUAAAUCCUCAUUCCAUAUCUAUACCUUCACUACAAACUUCUUUCUUGUUACCAAGCCUUCCGGAUUGAAUUUUGGCUAAUACAUGCUUGAGAAGAGAAGUACUGUUGCUACAAUUUUUUUUUAGCUAUUCUAGCUAGCUACAAGCAGCCUUAUCACUUUAUACUAAUGGGACUUUUUGUUGAUCAUAGUCUUCCCAUGUUUCAAAGCUCAUAGAUCAUUCCCACUUUCAACAUACGUUUGUGUGGAAUGUCAAACACCUUUUCUGUCUGUCUCAAAUUCUUCUUCAAGAUAUUAUAGCCAACAUUUAUCAAAACUUUUUUCCCUAAUUUGGAGCCCUUCUCUGCAAUCACCUCAUUCUCACCGAUGAAGUGCACCACACCAGCUCGUGCCGCUCUAUCAAUUGCUUCAAUAUCUUUGUCAACAUCCUCUUGGCGCCUUUCUUCAUCAAUUUGCUUUGAUUCUUCACUCUCCUUCUCACCAUUAAUCAACCCAUCUUGCAGCUCUCCAGAAACCAUGUCUUCAUUACUGUGUGUUAAUGUCGGGGUC
rnacentral:lncRNA from 1 species